UUGAGAAUGCCAAAGCAUAUGGGCAUUAGCUGAUAUAUUAUUGACUUGAAUUCCUUGUGUGAUUGUGUUUUAUUUAUUUCACCCGUAUAGUUAUGAUAAUUGAGGUGAUUAUGUAUUAUGUUCAUAUUGAUUGAUUGAGAUGCAUCAUCAUCCCCUCUAUUGAAAUAAUAUUGUGCACAUGCAUAGACAUGAGACUGAGUAUAAGUUGGGCACGUGGAGAUCGUCCGUGCUGGGGAUGGUGAGAUAUUAAGAUUGUAAUUUGGGCACGUAGAGACCGUUCGUGCGAAAAAUUGUUUGAUAUUAUGAUAGUGCGUUGAGAUCGUCCGCACAGACACGUGGAGAUCGUCCGUGUCGGUAUAUGGACCUCGCGAGUCCUCCAUGGGUCAUGAACUCUCGAUGUAUUUCCGAGGAGUAUCAUGUAUAUACGGUUGAGUGUGUACUGGAUAUUCUGAGACAAUUCAUUACAUGGUGUUAUAUUGCAUUGCAUUUCAUCACAUCAUUUAUUUUGAUGAUUAUGUGUUUUGUUUGAUGUUUGGAAAAUACUUGAUGCUUGAUUACCUUUAUUGAUGAAACCUAAAUAGUGAGUGUAAUAUAUAUAUAUAUAUAUACUUAUAUAAUUUACGAAUUUAUUCUUUUUGUAUAAACUGCUGUCACUAUUUCUUCGUUGUCGAUCAAUGAGACAUACUGGGUACACGUGGUUUCGUACUCAUACUACGCUUGCUGCACUCUCUGUGGUUCAGAUUCGAUUCCGAGUAGAAGCACAUCUCGUGGAGCAAAUUGAGUCCGAGCUUGGAGUUGUGGUGAGCUGCUUGACUGUUCCGUGGCCCACACCUCCCUCUAUCUUUUAUUUAUUCUGCUAUUAGUAUUCAAAUAGGAUAUCUCUUAUGUUAGAUUUGUCAUUUAGUUUCAGACUUGCAUCGAAUUUUAGAAGCUCUUGUACUUAAGACACCAAUUGUUGGGGUGAUAUAUUUUAGCUUCCGCAUUUCGUAUUUAUAAGGAACUCAAUAUUGGAGAUCCUUGCUAAAUGUUAGUCUUUUUACUCAUUUGUUGGUUUAGUUGGGUUAAUAUGUUGGGUUGGCUUACCUAUUGGUUGGAAACAUAGGUGCCAUCACGACUUGAAAAAAAUUAGAUUGUGACAUUUAGUAAUUAAAACCAUUAAAAUUUUGUAUCAAUAUUAUAAGCCAUUAGUCAUUGUACAACUUUAAAUCAAAAUAAUUAAUGCGAAAGCCUUGAAUAAAGAGAACUCUAUAAUUCGUCACUUACUUCGUAGCUAAAUGGUAUUAGUGUGAAGUUUUUAUUAUUUAGCUACAAAAUUUUAUUUUCGUAAUAUCAUUAAAUUUAAAAAAAAGUUAAAAGAAAAUAUUAAAUUCGAAACAUUUUGACUAAGAAAGAUAAUUGAAUAUGUAUUACCAAGAUUGAGUUGUAGUACAAAUUACAAUACAAGGCUCGAUAAUGAUGCUUCCAAAGAUGGACACAAAUAUGAAAAAAAAAAAAACAAGAAAAAGAUACAAUAAUAAUUAUUAUUGAGGGAGGUGCCUAUGAAGUCAAGUUUAGUUUUACGUGACUAAUUUUUAUUGAACACGCUAUAUAAGAUUUAGGGCCCUCGGGGGAUAAUGUCCAAGUACCCCCUCAAUCUAUGCCUGAAAUCUUAGAGACACACUUAUACUAUACUAACGUCCUAUUACCUCCCUGAACUUAUUUAAUUAAUAAUUUUUUAUCCCAUUUUAGCCUACGUGGCACUAUCCUGUGGCCCAACGAUGGUUGACUUUUUUUUCUUCAAACUAGUGCCACGUAAGCUAAAAAGGGGUAGAAAAUUACUUAUAAAAUAAGUUCAGGGGGAUAAUAGAUUCUUAGUAUAGUAUAAGUGUGUCUCAGAAAUUUCGGGCAUAGGUUGAGGGGAUACUUGUGCAUUUUUCUGGCCCUUGGUAAUCUACUUAUGUUAUUUGUCCACUAUAUUAUAUUUAUGUUUACUUUUCACUUUUUUUUAUAUCAAAAUAAAAGUAGACUUUUUUUUCAUGUUAUUAUUUACUCAUAUUUUCCAAAUAAUAAUUCAUAACAUAAAAUUAUACGUCAAUUACUAUGCGUAUUAGAAUAAAACAUGCAUAUAAAUUAUUAUUUAUUUGAUGAAGUACAAUAUUCAAAAUGGACAAGUAUACCCAUUGGUGAAAUUGAUGAAGUUGUAGUAAACAUUGAAUGGAUAUUUUAGAAAAAAAAGAAAAAGAAAUAGUAGAUUCGUAGAGUGUGUUAAAAGAAAUAAUAUAUAUAUUAAUUUUGUAUAUUAAUGAUACUUUAUUUGAUACAUUAUAGUGUAUUGUUUAUUGAGAUCUGUUUUACUAAUACAAGGAAAUUCAUGAUAUUAAUUAUGCAACGUAUAUUAGUGUAAUACAUCAUCGCAAAUAAUGCAUACAUAAAAAGUAAUUUCUAUAUAGCACGAAAAACGUAUCUAUGACUUGACUACCAAGUCAUCAAUCAAUUUAUUUAUUAGAAAGUUCACAAAUUAGUAUAUAUAUAUAAUAAUAAUAAUUUAAUAUAAAUAUAAAAUAAAUAAAUAAAUAAUUAAAUUCAUCCGAAUCCACGAACAUCUGUACCUUAAAAUUAAUAAUGACCCAUUCAUUUUCUUGUGCAAUGUUCAGUGAGGGGUCACUGACUGCCCAUAUCGAAAUGCAUCUCAAGUAAACCUUUUUGAGAUGUGCAUUUUUAUGGCAUGCAUUAAGUCCACUGUCCCCAUCUCUACAUGUAUUUGAUGAUCUACCUAUAAUAAUUAUUUUACUUCCCCCUUUUUUUUAAAAAGAAAAUAUUUUUUAAUUCUAUAAAUUUAUUUUAAAAUGAAUGAUUUUUUUUUUAGUAACACCUUUAAUUUGAGCUUUUUAUACGAUAUAUUUAAGAUAACAAGAUAAAAAAUUUACUUUAUUUUCUCAAUUCAAUUUCAAAUAAAACUAGAUCAUUUUUUGAACAUUUUUUUCUUUUUAAUGUCUUGUUAAUGUAUCUAUAGCAUCACUUGAAAAUUAGAUGGAGGAGAAAGAGAAAAAAAUGUUAUAUUGCUUUUAUCUAAUAACAAUUUAAUUUGAGCUAUUCAUAUGAUAUAUUUAAGAUAAUAAAAUUAAAGAAUAUUUUGUUAUAUUUAACAUAAUACUAUUAGAUUGAUUUUUUUAAUUUUUUUUAAUUCAAUUUCAAAUUAAACUAGGUCAUUUUAUUGACAGAUUUUUCUUUUCAAUGCCUUGCACUAUAAGAAAAGUGUGGAAUAUAUUGAAAUUUUUUAAGAAAUUAAUAUGAAAAAUCACAUGAAAUUUAUUUUUCUAUAAAUUUUUAUAUUGAUCACUGAAAAAUUUCCACGUAAUUCACCCUUUUCUCGUGGUAUUGCUAAUGUAUCUAUAUCAUCACUUUGGAAUUUAAAUCGAGAAAGAGAACAAACGGUAUAGGCCUUACUAUGUUACGGUAAAUCAUUUUUUUUGUCUUUGAAUUAAUAGUUAUUAUUCGUUUUACUCACUUUUACUUAUCGAUUUAUAUAAAAAAAAAGUAUAUAUAUUAAAAUUAAAUUUAAAUUAUAUUUUUAAAUAAAAUUUAAAUUAUUAAAUAGGUGAAAGGGCCCUAAAAUGACAGUGAGAUGGACACGUGUACUGCCCUAUGACUAAUAAUGUGAAUCAACCAUGGAUAUACUGCCAUGCUCACACGUCUCAAAGCAUUCACGACAUUUAUUUAAUGCUUUGGGGGCUAUUUCUUUAUCUUCUUAAGGAUCAUUCAUGGAUCGAUGUAAUAGAAAAGGACAUCAACACAAAUCGUGAUUAAAUAGUUAAAGUUUUGAAAAAAAUAUUUUUUAACUAUAUUUUAAAUUUAAAUUACAUUCUUAAAAUUAUCAUUUUUAGUAAAAAAUAUUUUUUAAUUAUAUCUCAAACUUAAAUUAUGUUUUUAAAGAAUGUUUUCUGCUGAAAAUAAUACUUUAAGGAUGUAGUUUAAGUUUAUGAUAUAGCUAAAGGAUGUUUUCUGCUAGAAAUGAUAUUUUAAGAAUGUAGUUUAAGUUUUGGGUAUAGUUAAAGGAUGUUUUUGGUCAAAAUACAUAAAUGUGCCCUUUAACUUGACUUUAGAUUACAUUUAUGCCCUUCAACAUUGAAUAUGCACAAAUAGACACUUAAACUUGUACAAAGUUUAACAAAUAGACACACAUGUCCUACAUGUCAUCCUGCAUGUCAUUUUUUGUCCUAGGUGGUGUCCUAUGUAUAUUUUGCCAUAUAGGACUCAUGUGUUUAUUUAUUUAAAAGUUCGAUAAUUAAAGUACCUAUUUGUGCAUUAUGAAAGUUGGAAGUUAAAGAUAAAAUUUGAAUCCAAAUUUAGGGUUCAAUAUAUGUAUUAUGCCUUUUGAAUUAGAGUUCUUGUGUUUAAAUGAUACAUGAAAAAUAGAAUUGAAGGGUUAAAACGAAACAAGGUUAAGUUGGACCAAUUUAAGGGGGUUUUGUGUGUAAUUGGUCCAGAAGAAGUGAUACAUAUAUUAAUUUUAUUUGUCAUUCAUAAUUUGUUUGGUAUAUUUUUAAAAUUUGCAUUAUUUAUCUAUUUUGAUAUUAUGUUAGUAUAAAUUAAUAUAUAUACAAAAAAUUAUAAUAUUAACAAUGUAAAGGUGGUUAUUGUAUUUAUAAGACAUUCUUUCACAUCUUUUCAAUCAUUUUUAUAAAACAUAUUUUUGUAGGCAAAUUGUAAAGCUUAUGGAUUCUGGCAAGAAUCCAUAGCCAAAGCUCAACUGGAGCUCAAGAACACGUAUGGAAAAUGCAGAGCAAUUGGAGGAGAAAAGAUUUCCUCAUUAAGCUACAAUGUCACACCAUACAUCACUUAUAUACAAUCUAUUUGCUAACUACUUGUAAGUAACUUGUAACUAACUUGUAACUAAUUCUUCCUAACUAUAAUCUAGUAUGUAAUCUUCACCAUAAUAUACUAUAUACUUCAAUAUAUUUUCAAUGUACAUCAAUGCAAUUAUUUAACUCUUUCACACCCUCCCUCAAGCUAGGAGCUACGAAGAUGUUCUUCAUUCCUAGCUUGGAUACAAGAUGUAUAUGAGAAUCUCGUCCAAGUGCCUUAGUGAAUAUGUCUGCAGGCUGUUCAGAUGAAGUCAAGUAUGUUGUGACAACCAAUCCUUCUUGUAUUUUUUCUCUCACGAAAUGGCAAUCUAUAUCUAUGUGUUUUGUUCUCUCAUGGAACACUGGAUUAGCUGCUAUUUGAAUUGCAGAAGUACUGUCUGAGUACAAUGGCACAUGAAGAUUAAUUUUGAUUCCAAGUUCCUCAAAUAAACCAACAAUCCAAACAAUCUCAGCAACUGUAGAUGCCAUUGCUAUAUUUUGCCUCUGCUGAACUUCUGGAUACUGUCACUUGUUUCUUAGAUUUCCAAGAUAUAGGUGAACCUCCAUACUGUACCAAGUAUCCUGUAAUUGAUCUUCUACUAUUAAUGCAUGCACCCCAAUCAGCAUCAAAGAACACCUUUAACUCACUUCCCCCUUUUGAUGUCAUCAAAAUACCAAGUCCUGGUUCUGUUUUCGAAUAUCGAACUAAUCUUAUUGCAACCUCCAUAUGUGAAGUCUUUGGAGAGUGCAUAAACUGAUUCAAACACUGCACAACAAAAGAUAUAUCAGGUCUAGUAGUUGUGAGGUAUAAUAACCUCCCAAUUAACCUUAGAUAUCCUGUAGGAUCUUUCAAUGUUUCAUCAGGAUAUGUAGAUGGAAUAUUAGUAUCAAAUUCAACUGUAGUAAGCUUUUGAUUCAAUUCCAUUGGAGUUGAAACUGGUUUGGCACCUGCCAACCCCAUGUCUGAUAUAAAUUCUAAGGCAUACUUCCUCUGAUGUAUUAGAAUCCCAGCAUCGCUCCUAGCAAAUUCCAGCCCAAGGAAGUAUCUUAGUUCUCCCAAAUCCUUGAUUUUGAAAGCUUGUUGUAACAUCUCCUUAGUUUGAUGAAUCAUCACUGAAUCAUUUCAUGUCAGUAACAGAUCAUCUACAUAUAUAAGAACUAUCAUUAUCUUGUCUUGUUUUCUCUUUGUGAACAAAUAAUAAUCUCUUGUGCUUUGAUGAAAUCCAUAUUCAAUUAAGGUAUGUGUAAGCUUGAUAUUCCACUGCCUUGAUGCUUGUUUCAGACCAUAGAGUGACUUUAGAAAUCUACAUACUUGAUUGUUUCCAGUGCUGCUGUUGUGCUUUCUACUAAAACCUUGAGGCAAUGUCAUAUAUAUCUCUUCAUAAAGAUCUCCUUGUAGAAAAGCAUUGUACACAUCCAUUUGAUGAAUGUGCCAAUGAUUAGCAGCUGCAAUGGAAAUAACACAUCUCACAGUGGCCAUCUUGACCACUGGUGAGAAUGUCUCUUGGUAAUCAAAUCCUUCCUUUUGAUUGUAACCUUUAGCCACCAAUAGUACCUUGAAUCUCUCCACACCACCAUCUGAAUUAUACUUCACCUUAUAAACCCAUCUACAACCAAUUGCCUUCUUGUUCUUUGGCAAGUCUACUAGCUCCCAAGUCUGAUUAUCUUCUAGAGUUUUUAUUUCAUUUUGCAUUGCAUCUACCCAUCUAGCAUCUUGUAUAGCCUCUGCAUAAGUAUCUGGCUCAUUAUGAACUGAGAACUUUGAAAUAAAGCUUUGAUAUUUGUUGGACAAUCCAGGAUAAUCUAAUACUGAAGCUAUGGAAUGCAAACAUCUGUUAGUCCCACUUGUAGUAAUGUAAUCCUUAUGCCAGAUUGGAGGUUUAAUACUCCUAGCAGAUUUUCUCACUGGAGGAACAACCUGGUGAAGUGACAUUGGUGAGCAGCAUUAUCUGAACAAGAAGGGGAUAUAGUGGAUUGUGGCACUAUAGUGAUUAACUCAUCAUAAUUGAACAAGUGUAUAUUGGAAAUAUGAUUAGAUGAUGAUGUAGAAUUGUCUUUGAAAGGAAACACAGACUCAACAAAAAUUACAUCUCUAUUAACAAAGAAUGUUUUGCUCUCCAAAUUAUAUAAUUUGUAGACCUUUUGUAUAGUUUCAUAUCCCACCAAGACAGACUUUAGGGCCCUAGGACUAAACUUGUCUUGCUUAGUAAGAUUAGUAGCAAAACAUAAGCAGCCUAUCACUCUUAAAUGAUCAAUUGAAGGAGGCUUGUUGUAUAGUUUCUCAAAGGAUGACACACCAUUCAAACCAGUAGAAGGUACUCUGUUGAUCACAUAUACUACAGCUUGAACACACAAACCCCAAAAUCUAUCUGGAAAACCAGCCUGAAACUUAAUAGCUCUAGCUGUCUCUAGAAUAUGUCUAUGUUUUCUUUCCACUACACCAUUCUGUUGAGGUGUAUAUGGACAAGAACUUUCAUGGAUAACACCAUGUGAUUUGAGAAGUUCAUUGCAAUUGGAAUUAAAAAAUUUAGAACCAUUAUCUGUCCUUAUCUUGUGAAUCUUUUUGCCAAACUGAGUUUCAACUUCUGUAAAAGAAAUGUUUUAACAAACUAAUAACAUCUGAUUUCAAUCUCAUUAGAAAAAUCCAUGUCCAUCUCGAAUAGUCAUCAACAAUAGUAAGAAAAUACCUCAUGCCAUCAAAAGUUUCAACUCUAUAUUGUCCCCAAACAUCUAAGUGAACUAGCUGGAAAAUACUUGUUGAUCUACUAGUACUGUUAGGAAAAAACAACCUAGUUUGUCUAGCAAGUGGACAAAUUUCACAAUCAUGUAAGGCAAACUUACUACCAAACUUAUGAAAAAUGGGAAUCUUCCUGAUUACACUCAUAGGUACAUGACAUAAUCUUUGAUGCCAAACAGUAGCUUUAUCUUCAAUAUCUUGUACUGCUGUUAAACAUCUCUGAGGCAUAUCUGCUACUUGUGUAUCUACCAUGUAUAAACCAUAUUUUUCUUUACUAGUCACCCUCACCUUCCCAGAUGAGAGAUCCUGAAAAACACAGUAAUGAGGAAAGAAGGUGACACAGCAAUUCAAAUCCUUAGUCACUUGUGAAACAGACAUAAGAUUGAACUUGAAGUCUGGAAUACAUAACACUUGUCGAAGUAUAUCACCUUUUCCUAUAGGAUAAUUUCCAAUAUGAGAAACCUUUGCAGAAUCUCCAGUAGGUAACUAAACACUACCUGCAUUUUCUAUCAGUCUUUCACAAUGUAAAUGCUUAACAUCAUUUAUCAUAUGAUGAGUAGCACCAGUAUCAACUACCUACUGUAAUGAAGCAUCCUUAGAUAAGUAAGAGUUACCUGCCAUAUUAGCUACACAAUGUGUAUCACCAACUGUUGUUUGAUUCAACAUUUGAAUAAGUUUCUGAUGUUGUUGUGGUGUAAACAUUGGCAUUGGCAUCAUCCCAGAUUCUGCAGCUGGAUAAGAUUCCUUUUGAGUAGGUUGUUGUGAAGAGAACUGCUGUGGAGCCUGAUGAUGGAUUGGUGAUGCUUCAUAGAUUGAGUUCCCCGCAACAAGUGUGUCUCUCUUUCCUUUGAACUCUGAAGGAUAUCCAAUAAGCUUAAAACAAUCAAGCUUUACAUGACCAGUUUUGUGACAAUGAUCACAUUUCAACAGUUUGUUACAAUCAUUUCUCAUAUGACCCUUCAUGUGACAAUACUCACAGAAAGCAUUAGGAUUGUAUGGCUUCUUGUUCCUAGAAUUAGAUCUUGAUGUAUACAUUGCAGUAGAAAUUAGAUUUUCUGGCAUUGAUCUACUCAAAUUUGCUGCUAGUUUUUGACUUUCAUCUUGACUUAUCAUAGCAUAAACCUGAUUAAUGCUAGGAAGUUGAUGCAUCAACAGAAUUUGACUACGAGCCUGAGCAUAACCAUCAUUAAGUCCCAUAAGAAACUGCAACAUUCUCUGGUAUUGAAGAUGCUAAAAAAACUCUAGAUUUAGGACAAUUACAAGCUGGUGGUGGCAUGACGCUAUCAUAUUCAUCCCAAAGAUCUUUGAGUCUUGAGUAGUACACAGAGAUAGAAGACACACCUUGAACAAAUGUGAAGAUCUCUUUAUGUAGCUGAAACACAUGAGAACUAUUGAUCUUAUUGAACCUUUCUUUUAGAUCUGCCCAAAUAAAUUGUGUAUCUGAACAGAAAAGAACACCACUGUGUAGAUCCUUACUCACAUUACACAGAAUCCAUGAAACAAUAAUGGCAUUACAUCGAUCUCAUAGUUGAGCUAAACUCUCUGAAAAUUGAUCACGUUUCACUGUUCCAUCAAUGAAUCCUACUUUGUUCUUCCCAAGCAAAGCCAACUGCAUAGCUUUGCUCCACAAAGUGUAGUUAUCAGUUCUUGUAAGCAUGAUUCCUAUGUUGAGUGAACCAAAGCAUCAGAUGGAUGCAAAUACAAAUGAUGAAGAUGAUCAAUGGUCGUGGAUGCCAUUGAUGUUCCUGUGAUAUCUCCCACUGAAACUCCAGUAGAAACAAUUGAAUUAACAAAUUGAUCUUCUCGUUUACAGAUCCAGUGGCUCUGAUACCAUGUAAAGCUUAUGGAUUCUGGCAAGAAUCCAUAGCCAAAGCUCAGCUAGAGCUCAAGAACACGUAUGGAAAAUGCAGAGCAAUUGGAGGCGAAAAGAUUUCUUCAUUAAGCUAGAAUGUCACACCAUACAUCACUUAUAUACAAUCUAUUUGCUAACAACUUGUAACUAACUUGUAACUAAUUUGUAACUAAUUCUUCCUAACUAUAAUCUAGUAUGUAAUCUUCACCAUAAUAUACUAUAUACUUCAAUAUAUUUUCAAUGUACAUCAAUGCAAUUAUUUAACUCUUUCACACAAAUAUCCGUAGAGUAGAGCAAAAUAUGAAAGACCAGAUCGAUAUGUGUCACGACCCAAAUCGGGCCGCGACUGGCACCCACAUUUACCCUCCUAUGUGAGCGAACCAACCAAUCUAAACCUUAACAUUUCAAUGUAAUAUCAACAUAAAGUACUGCGGAAGACUUAAACACAUUAAUAAAAACCAAUUCAAUAACUCUUAUUUCCCAAAAUCUGGAAGUCAUCAUCACAAGAACAUCUACUUCAAAUUACUAAAUCUAAGAGUUUCUAAGAAGCUAAAAAUACAUAAAAGCUAGUCAAUACCGGAACUUCAAGGCAUCAAGACAUGAAGAGGAAGAUCCAGUCCAAGCUAGAAGCAUUAGCUCACCCUGAUAUCCGGAGUAGUGAAGAUUGGCUAGAGUUACGUUGAGUCGAAGAUGACGGCACGUUUGUUGCACUCCACAAAUAAACAAGAAGAAAACAUAAAAGUAGGGGUCAGUACAAAACACGGGUACUGAGUACAUAUCAUCGGCCAACUCAAAAUAGAAAUCAAUAUAUACCAAGUAAUAUCAUAAAAUCAACUAUGAUACUCAACAUGUAACAACAGCAAGUACUAUAUCAUUAACAAUUACCGUCAAGUUCACACAUGAGGACUCUAGCCUCAAUACCAUACUCAUUUGGGAAUUAUGUUCAUUAGAUUGAGUAUAUUAACAUCUUUAAAGAUUCAUUAUCUUUAUUUCUCUUGUGUCGGUACGUGACACUCCGCUCCCUCAUAUUCAUUAAUCCUCUUGUGUCGGUACGUGACACUCCGAUCCCCUAAAUCUACGUGUCGGUUCGUGACACCCGAUCCCCUAAAUCUACGUGUCGGUUCGUGACACCCGAUCUCCUAAAUCAACGUGUCGGUUCGUGACACCCGAUCCCCUAAAUCUACGUGUCGGUUCGUGACACCCGAUCCCCUAAAUCUACGUGUCGGUUCGUGACACCCGAUCCCCUAAAUCUACGUGUCAGUUCGUGACACCCGAUCCCCUAAUACUACAUGUCGGUUCGUGACACCCGAUCCCCUAAAUCUACGUGUCGGUUCGUGACACCCGAUCCCCUAAUACUACGUGUCGGUUCGUGACACCCGAUCUCCUAAUCUCCUUCUAUCAAUUCAUCAAGCCUUCUUUCUUACCAAGGCAUCAUCAAUCCCAUUAUUUUAGUUCAUCACGCCUUCUUUUAUACCAAGGCCUCAUUAUUAACAAAGAGAUUAGGAUUUUGCAAAAUUUGGGAUUCAAUAACUUCAUCAUGCUUAUAUAAUCAUAAUUAUAUAAUUACAUUCAUGCAAGCAUACAAUUAAGCACAUAGCAGGGUUUACAAUAUUAUCAAUACAUAUCAUUCGCUAUUAAGAGUUUUACUACGAAUAUCGUAAGAGAAACCAUAACCUACCUCCACCUAAGACUAGUGAUCAAGCAAGAAUUUCCCAAAGCCUUGUGUUUUUCCUCUUCGUUCGUCUCUCUCUAUCGAUUCUCCUUCUCUCUCUUUCUGUUCUUUUCUUUUCUUAUUCAAACCCUCUUUCUUUUACCCUAGUUAGCAUAUAAUUAAGAAUAAAAGAUGGCUAUAAUAAUCCACUAAUUUACUCAAGGUUACCUCUUUUAACCCCCAAGUAAUUGGAUUAUUAAUAUUCAACCACCAACUUUAUAAUUAAAGUAGGAAUAGUCCAAAACGUCCCUUAAAACGUGUAAAGAAAUCCGACCCAGACUGGGAUUACGCAACCUGUGACGGCCCGUCGUGCCUGCGACUGUCCGUCCUGCAGGUCGUCGCAAGGUUCAGAGACUCAAUUUCCACCAAAGAGUCUGUGACGGUCCGUCACGCCUGUGACGGUCCGUCCUGCUAUUCCGUUACGAAGUUCAGAGAGUCGAUUUCAGUACCCAAAUUUCAAAAUUCUAAGUGUUUUGGAACGAGACCCCUCGACGGUCCGUCGUGCUCAUGACAGUCUGUCGUGGGUUCCGCCGUCUCAACCUGUUUUUCCAGAAAUAAAAUCUGCUGCUCAAAACGACUAAACAGGUCGGUACAUUAGAUACCAAUUUACCCAUCGUUCGUCCCCGAACGAUCACAAGAAGGAAAACAAGGGCGAAAAGGAGUACCUGAAUCUGUAAACAAGUGUGGGUAUCUUUCUCGCAUAUUAGCCUCUUUCUCCCAAGUGGCUUCUUCGACUGGUCAAUUCCUCCAUUGAACUUUGAUGGAUGCAAUCUCCCUUGAUCUCAACUUGCGAAUUUCUCUAUCUAGAAUGGCAACAGGCUCCUCCUCAUAAGUCAAAUUUUCAUCAAGCAAGAGUGAAUUCCAAUGAAUAAUAUAGUUUCCAUCCCCAUGGUAUCUUUUCAACAUAGACACAUGAAAUACCGGAUGUACUCCGGACAGCCCUGGAGGCAAGGCUAACUUGUAAGCCACCUCCCCUACUCGCUUAAGUACUUCGAAGGGACCAAUGUACCUUGGGCUUAGUUUUCCUCUUUUACCAAACCGCAUCACCCCUUUCAUUGGCGAAACUUUCAACAAGACUUGUUCACCCUCCAUGAACUCUAAGUCUCUAACCUUUCGAUCUGCAUAUUCUUUUUGCCUACUUUGCGCCGCUAGAAGCUUUUCUUGAAUAGAUUUCACUUUCUCUAUCGAAUCCCUCAAAAGAUCAGUACCCCAAGGUCUAACCUCGAAUGCAUCAAACCAACCAAUGGGGGACCUACAUCUCCUACCAUACAAUGCUUCAAAUGGAGCCAUAUCAAUGCUUGAGUGAUAGCUAUUAUUGUAUGAAAACUCCGGUAAGGGUAAGAAGUUAUCCCAAUGGCCACCAAAUUCUAUCACACACCCACGAAGCAUAUCCUCCAACACUUGAAUCAUUCGCUCAGACUGACCAUCGGUCUGAGGAUGGAACGCGGUACUAAGGUCCAACCUAGUACCCAAUUCCGCAUGCAAUGUUUUCCAAAACUUAGAAGUAAACAGUGUACCUCUAUCUGAUAUGAUGGAUAGUGGAACCCCAUGCAAUCGAACGAUUUUUGAGAUAUAGAUCUUGGCUAACUUCUCGGUAUUGUAAGUCACCUUAACCGGAAUAAAAUGAGCAGACUUAGUUAACCUAUCAACAAUCACCCAAAUAGAGUCAUACUUACCCAUCGUCUUUGGAAGACCAACCACGAAGUCCAUUGCGAUUCUCUCCCAUUUCCAUUCCGGAAUGGGCAUUCCCUGAAGUGUUCCUUCGGGCCUUUGGUGUUCAUACUUUACUUGUUGACAGUUUGGACAUUUGGCAAUAAAAUCCACAAUAUCACGCUUCAUUCUACUCCACCAAAAGUGUUGCUUUAGGUCACGGUACAUCUUGGUUGCACCCGGAUGUAUCGAAUACCUUGAACUAUGAGCCUCUGUCAGAAUAGUGUUGAUCAAAUCAUCGACGCGGGGUACACAUACCCUUCCCUUAAUUCUCAAAACACCUUUCUCAUCGAUUGUCGCUUCUUUAGCCUCUCCUUGCAAUAUUUUAUCUCGGAUCCGGAUCAAUUUUUCAUCAUUAAACUGCUUUCCCUUAAUCUUGUCAAGAAAGGAAGAUCUCGCCUCCACACAAGCCAAAAAUCCUCCCUUCUCAUUUACUUCUAAUCUCAUCAAGUCGUUAGCUAGAGUCUGAACCUCUCUAGCCAAUGGACGUCUAGAAACUUGCAAGUGAGCUAGACUUCCCAUGCUCCCUGCCUUUCUACUUAAAGCGUCUGCCACAACAUUAGCCUUCCCCGGAUGAUACAAGAUAGUGAUAUCGUAGUCCUUCAGUAGUUCCAUCCAUCUCCUCUGUCUCAAGUUCAAAUCUUUCUGAGUAAAGACAUACUGUAUGCUAUGAUGAUCCGUAUAGACCUCACACUUAACCCCAUAUAAAUAGUGUCUCCAUUGCUUUAAUGCAAACACUACCGCGGCCAAUUCCAAAUCAUGAGUUGGAUAGUUACGUUCAUGCACUUUUAAUUGUCUUGAAGCAUAAGCAAUCACAUUCUUCUCUUGCAUUAGCACUGCACCCAAACCCGAAUAGGAUGCAUCACAAUAGAAAAUGAAAUUCUUACCUUCCACUGGCAAGGUGAGAAUUAGUGCAGUAGUCAACAGAGUCUUGAGCUUCUGAAAGCUUUCCUCACACUCAUCCGACCAUACAAAUGGAACAUUCUGCUUAGUCAAGUUUGUCAGUUGGGAAGCAAUAGAAGAGAAUCCCUUGACAAAUCGGCGGUAGUAGCUAGCUAACCUAACAAAGCUCCUUAUUUCUGACACAUUAGUAGGUCUUACCCAAUUCUUCACUGUCUCAAUCUUAGAAGGAUCCACCAUCACUCCAUCCUUAGAAACCACGUGCCCCAAGAAGGACACUGCAUCUAGCCAAAACUCACAUUUAGAGAACUUGGCAUAAAACUUUUUCUCCCUCAACAUUUCCAAUGCCAUUCUCAAAUGCUCCUCCUUACUUUUAGAGUAUAUCAGUAUAUCAUCAAUAAAUACGAUCACAAAAAGAUCCAAAUAUGGCUUAAAAAUCCAGUUCAUCAAACUCAUGAACGCAGCAGGGGCAUUCGUAAGACCAAAAGACAUCACUACGAAUUCGUAAUGCCCAUACCUGGUUCUAAAAGCAGUCUUUGGCACAUCCGUUGCCCGUAUCUUCAAUUGAUGAUAACCGGAUCUCAAGUCAAUCUUAGAGAAGACACAAGCACCUUGUAACUGAUCGAACAAAUCAUCAAUGCGAGGAAUGGGAUACUUGUUCUUAAUAGUUACCUUGUUCAACUGUCUGUAGUCUAUGCACAUCCGAAAACUCCCAUCCUUCUUCUUCACAAACAAAACCGGAGCACCCCAAGGAGAUGCACUUGGUCUAAUGAAGCCUUUAAUCAACAACUCUUGAAGUUGGGCUUUUAACUCUCUUAACUCCGCGGGAGCUAUUCUAUAAGGGGGUAUAGAAAUGGGGCGAGUACCUGGUUCAAGAUCAAUACAGAAGUCAAUAUCCCUAUCUGGUGGCAUACCAGGAAGAUCUGCAGGGAACACAUCCAGAAAGUCACGGACCACUGAAACCGACUCAAUCGAAGGCACUUGGGUAGUGUCAUCCUUGAGAUGUGCCAAGAAAUCUAAACACCCUUUACUAACAAUUUUCCUAGCACGAAGAAAGGAGAUGAUACGCACCGGAUUGGAAGUGUAGUCACCCUCCCACACUAAUGGAUCUGUCCCAGGCUUGGCUGACAUCACCGUUUUAGCAUUACAAUCCAAGAUCGCAAAUUUUGGAGAAAGCCAAGUCAUACCCAGAAUUACAUCAAAAUCAACCAUUUCUAAGAUAACCAAAUCUACAUAAGUGUUGAUCCCCACAAAGUUCACCAAACAAGACCUAUAUACCUUUUCAACUACCACAGACUCACCCACCGGAGUAGAAACACGAAUAGGCAUAUCAAGUAAUUCACAAUGUAAAUUUAGACCAUUAGCAAAUGAAAAAGAUACAUAAGAAAAUGUGGAUCCAGGAUCAAACAAUACAGAAGCCAUGCAAUCACAAACCAGAAGAUUACCUGUGAUGACAGCAUCAGAUGUCUCUGCUUCUGAUCUCCCAGGGAAAGCAUAACAAUGGGCCAUUCGUUUGUUUGUCCGUUGCCCCUACCAUGUUGUGAUGUAGUGGCUCCAGUUUGCCCAUCACCCCGGCUGUUUUGGUGACCACCAUUACCUCGACCACCACGUCCUCCAGAAUAACGACCUCUACCAUGACCACCUCUACCUCUAGCUAUUGGGGGUCUAUAACUCUGUUUGGGACAAUUCCUCCUAAUAUGCCCAGUCUCCCCACAUCCAUAACACUCUCUAGAGUCAAGCAUAGGUCUCUUAGAAAAGUGUUGACUGGUCUGAGGUGGACCCCCAACUACAGUCUGUAGUGAAGACUGAAUGGGUCGAACUGAGUAGCCUCCGGAACCCUGUCCUCUAGAGUAAGAACCAUUAAACUCACCUCCCUUUCGAAACCUCUUUGAUGUCGAUGCCAUGGUAAAUUCAUCUGGCUUCACUCCUUCCACCUCUACCACGAAAUCUACUACUUCUUGGAAGGAUUUUGUCGUAGCCGCUACCUAUAAGGCUGAAAUCCGCAACUCUGACCUCAAACCCCUUCACAAAACGACGAAUCUGCUCUUGUGGAUUGAAACAAAGUUGGUGGCAUAUCUGGAUAGUGCACGAAACUUAGCCUCAUAUGCAUUGACCGACAUCCUACCUUGCUCUAGGCUCAAGAACUCAUCCUUUUUCCUAUCCCUCAAAGUCCGGGGGAUAUACUUCUCCAUAAACAAGCUACAGAAUGAGGCCCAAGUCAUAGGUGGUGCCUCUGUUGGUUGACACUCAACAUGUGACCGCCACCACAUUUUGGCGUUCCCUUGAAACUGAUAACUCACGAACUCAACACCAAACCAUUCUACUAUACCCAUGUUGUGUAGUAGCUCAUGACAUUCAACCAGAAAAUCGUAAGCAUCCUCAGAUUCAGCACCCUUGAAGACUGGAGGUUUCAAUUUCAAGAACUUACUGAAAAGUUCAUGCUGAUCAUUUGUCAUUAUAGGCCCAGUAGUCAGACAUGGAAACGUGCCUAUGUCCAAUGAGACAUCCAUACGAGGAGCCAUAGUGGUUGUAUGUUGUACCUCUGAAACCGGAGGUGUUGGUGCAGAAAACACUGGAGGUGCCUGACCCUGAUCAGACAAUCCACUAAGAUAAGCGAGAACCUGAUUGAUCAUCUCUGGGGUAGGUUGGGGUGGCAAUACCUCAUUUUGCACUUGUUCAUUCUCCCCUUCCUCACCCUCUCUUACUACUUCCUCAGUCGGUGGAGGAGUCACCGCCCUAGCAUCAGAUGGGCUAGAUGCUUGUCCUCUUCCUCUAGAGGACGUCCUCCCACGACCUCUACCACGGCCUCUUGCCGUUGCUCUUCCUCGAGCCAUAGCCCCAGUGGCUGUCUCAGUUACAUCCUGCCUUGCUGGUGUUGGUGUUGGCGUAGUCGUUGCUCUAGUUCUAACCAUCUGCAAAAGAGAGUGAAGAUGGUCAGAUACCAAUUUGUAUCACCUAGAUACCAAUUGGAUUCAAGUAGUAGCACGAAGGAAAGAAAGAAUGGAAUUUUCCUAAAGUCUUAUAGCCUCUCAAAGAAAGUAAAGACGUCCCCCUACCGUUCCUUAAGACUCUACUAGACUCGUUCUUGUGUGAUGAGACCAACGAACCUAAUGCUCUGAUACCAAGUUUGUCACGACCCAAAUCGGGCCGCGACUGGAACCCACACUUAGUUCAUCACGCCUUCUUUUAUACCAAGGCCUCAUUAUUAACAAAGAGAUUAGGAUUUUGCAAGAUUUGGGAUUCAAUAACUUCAUCAUGCUUAUAUAAUCAUAAUUAUAUAAUUACAUUCAUGCAAGCAUACAAUUAAGCACAUAGCAGGGUUUACAAUAUUAUCAAUACAUAUCAUUCGCUAUUAAGAGUUUUACUAUGAAUAUCGUAAGAGAAACCAUAACCUACCUCCACCUAAGACUAGUGAUCAAGCAAGAAUUUCCCAAAGCCUUGUGUUUUUCCUCUUCGUUCGUCUCUCUCUAUCGAUUCUCCUUCUCUCUCUUUCUGUUCUUUUCUUUUUCUUAUUCAAACCCUCUUUCUUUUACCCUAGUUAGCAUAUAAUUAAGAAUAAAAGAUGGCAAUAAUAACCCACUAAUUUACUCAAGGUUACCUCUUUUAACCCCCAAGUAAUUGGAUUAUUAAUAUUCAACCACCAACUUUAUAAUUAAAGUAGGAAUAGUCCAAAACGUUCCUUAAAACGUGUAAAGAAAUCCGACCCAGACUGAGAUUACGCAACCUGUGACGGCCCGUCGUGCCUACGACGGUCCGUCCUGCAGGUCGUCGCAAGGUUCAGAGACUCAAUUUCCACCAAAGAGUCUGUGACGGUCCGUCACGCCUGUGACGGUCCGUCUUGCUAUUCCGUUACGAAGUUCAGAGAGUCGAUUUCAGUAUCCAAAUUUCAGAAUUCUAUGUGUUUUGGAACGAGACCCCUCGACGGGCCGUCGUGCUCAUGACGGUCCGUCGUGAGUUCCGUCGUCUCAGCUUGUUUUUCCAGAAAUAAAAUCUGCUGCUCAAAACGACUAAACAGGUCGUUACACUAUGUUGAUUGUAUUAUCUAUGAAUAAUCUUUUAAAUGAUGACGUAAAAUAGGAAAAUCGCAUUAGUAAGCCUUCUUCCAUUAGUCAAUUAUCAACCAUCAUCGUGAGUCGUGGUAGAAUAUUAACAAUUUAUAUACUUUUAAUUAAAUGUUUUUAAUAUGAGUUCUCCUUAGUUAUAAAAUUAUCUUGUUAAAGAGAAUUUUUUUAAAAAAUAUGUCAUCAAAUUUUCAGAAAAGAUUUAUUUAUGUUAUUCGUUAAAGGUUUGGUUCAUUUAUGUCAUUACCGUUAAAGAAAAGCUCAUUCAUGCCAAAAAAAUUUAAUAGUGAUUUUGAAAAAAUAUUUUUGACAUGCGAUCAAUUAUAGCUCGGGCACGUAAUUAAAUUUUUAAUUAAAAAAUUAUAAUUCUGAAAGAAAAUUGAAUUAAUUUUAUUUGAUUCUUUUUAUUAAAUAAUUAAUUAAGUGACCGAAUUAUAAUUGGUCUUGUCAUCAAUUUUUUUAUUAAAAAAAAUUAAAAUUCUGAAUAAAAUUGAAUUAACUUUUAUUAAAAAAUUGAUGAGGUGACCGAAUUAUAAUUGACCACGUCUCAAAAAUGAUUUUGCAAAUCUACUGGUAAAAGAUAAAGGAAUUAAUGAGUCUUUUCUUUGACAAUAAUGACAUAAAUGAAUAAAACUUUUUAAUAAUAACAUAAAUGUGUCUUUUCUGAAGUUUAAUGACAUAUUUAUUUGAGUCUUUUUCCUUGUUAAAGAUUACUUUACCUCUUAACGUGCAAUUUCCAAGUAGAAUUCGAGUUUAAUUGAGUACCAAUUUCUACUAUAGUAGAAAGAGCUUAUUUCAACAUGUCUGGUUAAUGUCAAUUAAAUUGAUCAAGGCAAUUCAGACUUUUAAGCCAAAUAAUUAUGCUAUGUGUCUGUUAAGUUGAAAAGAAAAAGACACGUACCAAUGUGUGUGCAGAGCACGUGUUAUCAUUCUUUCUAUACUCUCUCUUGAAAAAGAAAGACAACAAUUUAUCCCAUCACUUUUGUAUUAGAUUUGAAGCUCUAAUUUCCAUCAACUCACACAAAACCUAUUCUAAUUGUUGUGAAGAUUAAACAAUUAAGAGGAAGAUCAAAGUAAAAAAUUGAGAAAAUUAAGCACCAAAUUUAAUAGAUCUGAUGACUAUUGAAAAUUGAUUUAACCAAGAAAUCAAAGCUGAGGCAUUUUUCAUGGUAACAUGGUCAUCUAGGUUUUCUUUGUUUUCGGAGAUACUAUCAAUAGAUGAUUUUGGAUGGGGUAACGACAUGCAUGUGUUUUUUUAUUUACUUUGAUUAUUUUUUUCUUUUCUUUAUAAGUUAUUCCAACAAAUGCAAAAUUAUGCACCCUAGAUGUUUGAUUAUUUGCCUAAGAAAACUGAUUAAUAUUUUGUUAUGUAUAAUUUUUAAAUCUGUGUUGGUGAUUUUCACUUGUUUCUUAUUCUUCCUCGCCUUCUUUAUCUCUUUGUUUUAGUUGUUCACCAAUUUUUUUUUUGUUUCUCCAUUUUCUUGAUUCUUCUUUCACAGGUUUAACAACGAUUUAAGUUUACUCAUUGUGAUUCAUAUAUUAUUUCUUUUUAAUUUCACUGUAAGUGCUAGCAAUUUAGCAGAUCCUUUUAAGCCUAUAAGUUUUAUAAUUGUGGAACUCAUACUGUUUUCCUGCAAUUGGUUUCGGGUAUGUUCUUUUGCAUUAAAAGUUAUAGCAAGGUGCUUUUAUUUCAUUUAUCGGAUGAGUAUGUUUGGAGAUUUCUUUAAACUUUAUACUUGAUCAAGUUAGUUGUCUUCCAUAGACAUUUUUAACUCUUCUUUUUCAUUAUCAUCUUUCAUUUGCUCUGUCUCUUUUUGAGUUUGUAACUGUUUGGGGUUGAAGUGGUUUCUACUGUUUAAUUUUUUCCUUUACUUGGAUGCUUUUAACUAGCUAGAUUCUAUAUGCAUUAAUUUCAAGUUUUUGCCUCAUUUGCUCAUUGCUUGAUGUACAUCAAGAAAGGAAAAAAAGAUCUUUAGAAAUUACUCUAGCAGUGUGAGAACAUUAGACGACGCUUCCUCUUAAAAGACACUAUUGGAUUAAUUAUUGAGUUUUUGGGCAUAUAUUUUUUUCCUUUAUCUCAAUUUGAGUUGUAAGUUAUAUUAGGUGUGUGCCUUAUUAUGAGUUUUUCUUUCUUUUUUGUUUAAUUAAGGUAUGCAAUUACUGCUAAUAGAGUUUGAUGAACGUUUUUAGGUGUUUGAUAAUAUGCCUAAAAUAGUUGAUAUUUUUUUUUAUUAAUUUUAACUUUUCUCUUUUGAUAGAUGUUUUACAACUUGUAGCAGAUUAUUUCACUUCACUGAAUUUGAAAGAAAUUCUAGCUUUGUUGAAGGAAAAUAUGGCUGUCAAUCUGCCAUAGAUAUAGUGAUGCAGAGAAUGAAGAUUAGAAACACCGUAUAAAUACAACAAAGAGAGACCUUUUUUGCAGAUCAUCAUGCCUUCAUCUCCAGCAUGAUGAGUUGCGACAUAAAAUUUUUAUCAGGUUUGAUAAUUAUUUAAGCUUUCAUUCACCACAUUUGUUUCAAUCUUCUUUACUCUGAUCAAUCAAUAGAUGAUUUGAAAUGGGAUAAAUGUGAAUCAGGUGUUUCAACAUCUACUGCUUGUGCUUUUUGUGUGGUUAUUUUGCUAAUGAUUAAUUGGAUAUGCUCCUAUAUUGAUUGACUUCAAUUUGUUGAUAGUUAUUAGGAGCAAACUACUUCAACUUUUAGGAGCACAAUUAAGAGUAAAUGUGCAAAACUAAAUGAAAAUAUUUUGAAAAAAUGUGUAAUUGUGAUGAUUAUUUUUUAUUUUAUUUUUAUCUCUUAUAGCUAUAGAAAAUUAUUUGACUUUUUCAUUACUGAUACAAAGUCACAUGACAUAUGUAUAGUUAUUCUUCCUCUUUACUGUAUUUGUUGUUGCUGUACAAUAAUGGUAUGCAUAUAAGGUUGCUAAUUUCUUGUCAGUAUGAAGAAUUUUUGUUACUUUUCAUUUUAAUGUCUUAUGGUAUUUAGUGAUUAUUUUGUUCUUUAUUUUGUGAAUGAUGAUGUUUUUUUCUGGAUUACUAUCUCAAAAUUUCAAGUAAGCAUUAUUAAUCUUUUUCAUUCCAAGUUUUACUUCUUGUCAUUACAUGCUUUUCUUUUCUUGGUUAGGAAUUAAAAAUUUAACUGUUAGAAAGAUAAUUGUGAGAGAAUGAAUUAGAUUCAAAAGAUUAGGACAAGGCAAUGUAAGUUUACAUCUUUCAUCAUUGAUUUUUUUUAAAUAAUAGUUAAGCCAAUCAUGUUCUGCAACUUUGUUGGUUUUAGAAACCAAGGAAGUAGUACAUUUAUUUUUACUCUGUGUUUAUGCUUGGAUAGUAAAGAACUUCUGAUGUUCAUAUUCAUAUACUAUAUUAACUGGAAAUAGUAUCAUUACUACAAUAAACAAAAUUAGUGGUUGUUCAUAUAUGACAAGUUCAGCAAAUAGACAGGACAUUGAAGAUAUUUGAUGGUCAUGAUUAAAGAUACAUACAAAAUAAAUCAUGUAGGAGUGGAAUAUCAGAUGUGAUAAUUAUGACUUCUUAUCUUCAUCUAUCUCUAGACAACACAUGCUUCUUUGUUAUUUAUUUAUGAAGAAGUAUUGUUUUAUCAGAUUAUGAAUUAUCAUGCUGAACGAUUCAUCUAUUGAUCAAAAACUUAUAAUUGCUUUAAGUGAAUCUUGUGCCACCAUCCACAUAUAAUAUAUACGGAAAACAAGAAAAAAAUUUAGUAUGUUGCCUCUCAGGUGAUGUUUAUUUGAAGUCACCAUUCGGCCUGAUGAAGGAUAUUAUGUGCAAGUAGUUCUGCUGAAACUAUUCUCUCUCUUUAAUGAAGUAUAUUCCUGAAAAAAGUUUACUUCGACUUGGAUAUGCCUUUCUGCAUUCGUAUUUUUAUGGAAAAUUGGUGCACUUCAAGUUAGCUUUCCUCGAUGUUGAUAACGUACAUUGUAUUAUUUGUUCGUAUUCAGGGGUGAAACUUUUGUCUUCGUAUUCAGGGGUGAAACUUUUGUCUUCUCUUUCAGCAUUUCUUCUAUUUAUCAUUAGCUCUGGAAACUCGGAUUUUGCAGGUUUACCACCCGAAUAUUGACUUGGAAGGUAAUGUGUGUCUCAACAUUCUUCGAGAAGACUGGAAACCUGUGCUCAACAUCAACACAAUAAUCUAUGGCUUGUAUCAUUUGUGUUGUCGUAUUCUGCUCUUACAGAAGGUUGUUUGUACAUGAAUCAACCAUCAUUGCCACAACUUGGACAAGCUAAUUAAAGUAUGUGAAUUCACAAUGUUAAAUUUAUUAUCCGUGACUUUUGAACAAUGUCUUAAGCCAACUUACUACUUUACUUAAGGGUCUUAUUGGUGUCGACUGUAAAAAGAUAAGACUUUUUUCCAAAACAACUUGUACACAUUUUGAGUUGCUUCUUUUCUUGGUGCUGCUCCCAUCGCUGAAAGAUCCACUGAAUUGUUUAGGUAGUACUACAGUUCAUAAAGAGCGGAGAAUAAAUGCACGCACUUAGUUGCAUAAAUAAAUAUUCCACUUUAAAUCUAAAAUCAUUUUUCCUCUUCUGCAGGUACAUUUUCUAGGUACUAACACUGAAAAGAAACUAAAAUGUAGCAGUAUGUAAAUAGUAUAGGAUGUAAACAUCCUAUGUAAAUGUAGCCACAACUACAAACAAAUGAUUGGCAACCAUUUAUAUAAAGUUUGUUUGCGCAAUCAACUCGCAAAAAUUUAGCCCAUAAAAGUCAUUCAUAAUCCAUUGAUACGUACGUGCGCAAUUUAACUCGCAAAUUUUUUUUAUUGGGCCCGUGCUUACACGGGCCAUCACUGCCUAGUUAUAUGAAUACAGGUGAAACCUUGGAUAUUGGCCAUUGGGGCAUCAAAGUCAUGGACCAGUAACUAGCCAACCUUUUGCAUGUUGUUAGUAUAUAUAUAUAUAUAUAGGAAAAAGCUUAAAUAUGUCAUUAAAUUUUUAGAAAAGAUUUAUUUAUGUUAUCAGUUAAAAGUUUGGUUUAUUUACGUCAUUAUCGUUAAAGAAAAGCCCUCUUUCAUGCCAUUAUAUUUUAACAAUGAUUUUGCAAAACCAUUUUUGAUACGUGGUAUAAUAUAAUUCGGUCACCUCAUCAAUUUUUUUAACUAAAAAAUAAAAAAAAUUAAUUUAAUUUUUAUUUAGAAUUUUUAUUUUUUUAUUAAAAAAAUUGACGAUAGUGACUAAUUAUAAUUCGGCCAUGUCAUCAAUUUUUUAAAUAAAUAAAUAAAUAAAUAAAUUUUAACUUUUUUUCAGAAUUAUAUUUUUUUUUAAAAAAAAUUGAUGAUAUGACUGAAUUACAAUUAACCACGUGCCAAAAAUGGUUUUGCAAAACCAUUGUUAAAAAAUAAUGAAAAGAAGGAGCCUAUUCUUGAACAAUAAUGGCAUAGAUGAACCAAACGUUUAACGGACGGCCUAAAUAAGCCUAUUCUAAAUUUCUCCAAUUCUAACCAACUCAAAAUUAGUAUAAAAAUUAUCUCAGUUGGUUAAUUGUGUAAAUAAUUUUAACCCAUCGAUAAUAAAAGUAAAACCAAAUGUAGAAAGAAAGAAAAAAAAAAGUAAAAUAUGAUGUAUAUAUAUUACUAUGAAGAUUGGGUUGUAAUACAACCAACCACCAAAGUUCAUUACAAUACUCGACAACAUAUAAGUACUCCAACAAACAAAAAUACAAAAUAAAAGAGACAACAUAUUAUAAAAUGAUGGAUUAAACUCGAUCGAUCGAUAGAUAUAUCCGUCUUAUUUUUCCCAAUUAUGCCUUGGAAAAUUGAACUUUCAUCAACCUUACUGAACCCUGCAAUAUACCAUAUUAAACCAACAUUAACAAAUCGAUACAAGUACACAUCAUUAUUUUAACAUGUUAAAUCAUAUAAUUUUAUUAAUCGUCGUAUAUGAAUUAAACUAAAGAAAUGUAUAACGUACUUCGAGCAGUCAGUAAAAGGCUGAUCUUGUAAGGAAUGCUUACGCCACAAGCACUAGGUAUACCAGCGGCUUUGCCUAGAUUAAGGCCUUUAAUAGCAUUAGCAGCUGAUUUGAGGCAAGUGCAUGCUGUCUUUCGAUCCGCGGGGGUCUUGGCUGCGCCCAAUAGACCCUUAACUCCACGACAACACCCUCCUAGAGGGCCUUUUCCCUGAAGAUAAGGGAGGCAUGGAGCUAAGCCAGAUUCAACCUGGCCGCAACUUAGUGCUUCUCCAUGGGGUGCAACCACUAUCAUGCACAAAACAAUAAAGCAUGCAAUUUUGCUAGACAUUUCCAUUUGUUACAAAAAUUUGAGAAAAGAUAGAGAAGUUCUGUGGACUAGGAAUGUAUUUGCUUGAGUGUUGGGGUACAAAAGCUAGUGAGAACUUUAGGUAUUUAUAGAUAGUAAAUUAAUUAAUGAAGGAGUGAGAGAAUUAGUUGGGAGUUGGGUUUAACUCCAAUAAUUAAGGAGGUGCCUCAUGCUGGCUAUGAAGUCAAAGUUAAGUUGUUAACGUGCCAAAGUUUUAUUGAAUAAUGCUACGACUUAUUAAGGCCCUUUGAAAAGCCACACCCUUAAAGGCAAUAUGGUUUUUCUAAGUGACUUCUGAUCGAGAGAGAAACAACUUCAUUCGUUAUAUAUGUAUUACAAUUUUUUAUGGUAGUAUUGUAUGAUUGGAUAAUUAUUUUUUUCAUUUUUUUAUAUAGUCAGUUUUUACUUUGUAUUUAAACUAAGAAAUAAUGUAAUUUUAUUCUUCUACGUAUUUUUAUUUAAUUUUUUUAGAAUUCAAGUUUUCAAUCAAUGACUAUGAAUUAAUUUAUUUUAAUUAAUUAAUUUAAUCAAUCAACAUAAAUCAUUUACUUAAAUUUUCAAGUUGAUUAAAUGUAUGUUUUCAAGGCUAAUAAAUCAUAAAAAUUAAAAAAAGAAAUAAUAUGAUAACCAUAAAUUAUAUGAAAUGACAAACAUUAUUAUAGAUCAACUAUAUAUAAAACAAAAAGAUGAGAAAUAAAUAAGAUUGGAGGGAUUAGUGUGUUACAUAUAUCCUCUCUCAAAAUAAGUGUUGUCUUACCAAAAGUAUAUUUCAUAUUACUUGGGUUUUAUAAGAAAAAUAAAUUAAAAAAAUCAAAAGUUUUAUUAUAUUUUUGUUCUUUCUAUAUGUUUCCUCGAUUUAUUUUUAUUUGUGUAAUUUGAAAAUUAAAGUAAUAAUUUAUCAUUUUAUAUCUAUUUUAUCUCUUGUAAAUAAUAUUUAUUUAUUACUAUCUGUACGACUUAUAAUAAAUACGAGUGAGAUAUCGUGGAAUUAUCUUUGCAUGUGGUAUGUCUUAUGAAAAUAAUACAUACAUAUCCAAACUCCACCAAAUUAAAGGUAAAAAGAAAAUAAAAGUUUGAAGAACAUAGCAUUGGUUAGCCCCAUUUUUUUCAUGACUGCCCAUGUCAACUUUGAUUUCCCUUUAGUUUAGAUUUUAGAAAAUAGCUAUAAAUUUAAAUGAUUUUUAUUUUAUUUUAAGAUAUUUUUAAAUUUAAAUCAAACACUCCCUAAAGUUAAAAGUAACUUCAAACAGACUCGAAGUUUGGCUCUCUACCUUAAUUAUCUAUAUAAUUGAUCUACUUACAAUGUAUUUAGACACUUUUAUACUCUCUUUCAUUCAAGUUUAUUUGUCUAUGUUGAAUUUGAUAAUUUCUUAAAAGUAAUAAGUAAAAUGAUAAUUUUGCUACCUUUUUACUUUAUUCAUCUCUAAUAAAGAAGUAUUUAUUCAUCAAAGAAUCAAUGUAAGCUCACAAAAAGAGAAAUGUAAGCACCCUCAUAUGCAUUGAGUUCAAAAUCAAGGCACAUAAAGAAAAUACAUUUUAUACAUGUUUUUAACCAAAAGAAAACAGAUUCUUAUACAUAUUAUAUAUAUAUAUAUAUAUAUAUAUAUAUAUAUAUAUAUAUAUAUAUAUAUAUAUAUAUAUAUCACUUGUAAAAAUUAUAAAUAAAUCAUCUCAUGAGAGUUCGAUUCCCAUUUGAAAUUUCCUCUCCAUUUCUCUUUUUUCUAUCCCCAAUAUAAAAAAGUAUUUACAAGAUAGUCCUUAUUAGAAAAUAUAUGUUGUAAUAUGCAUGUCAAAUAAAGGCACACAUUUUAAAAACAGUGAGCUAUUUAUUAAGGGAAAAUAUAUUUGGCAGGACACUUUUUUGGCACGAAUUCGGUUAAUUUUUUUUUUUUUUUUUGUAAUUUUGUUGAAAAGGGAAGAAUAAUGGAGUAAAUUCAUUUAUUUUUUUAUCCAAAAUACCCUUAAAAUAAAAUCAUUUUGAAUAUAUCAGAACCACUUUUGAGAAGUCAAACUCAUAAUUGUUACUUUUUCAGUUCAUAUUGUCCACGAAAUUGGGGUCCCCCUUACCAAUAAAUGUAUUAAAAGUUAUGUUUCUUUCUCCUUUUUUUUUAUUUUAUAUCUUUUUCUACUCCUUUUUUUCCUUUAUAUUACAUCAUAAUUUUUUAAUUAUUAUUCUUAUUAAAUAUAUUUAUUUAUCUAGAAACUUCGUAUUCUUAGUAAGAUUGUUUUGCUCGUGAUUUAAUUUGAAUUGUUUUUUAAUUAAAUGAAAAAAUUUAAUUAAUUUGAUUUUUCAAAUAUUUAUCAAGUCAAAUUAAUUAAGUCAAUUUUCAUAAUUUUUUUUGUAAAUUUUUCUUGCUAUUUGAUUUUUUGGACUUCUAAAAAAUAUAUGAUACUAUAAAAUUUUGUUAAAGUACAUAUAUAUAGGAUCCUUCAGAAAACAAAUUACGCAUUAUUUAAAAAUUUAAUUAUUUUAAAGAAAAAUGAUAAAAUUAUUUCAAACGAUUUUAAUAUUUUCUUACAAUAUUAAAGAUGAAGAUAUGUUAAGAUAUCUUGUUAAUAUUUGAUUUAAAUAAAAAUAAUCGUUGAAAAUAAUCAACUGAUAAGAAAGAGAGUAAAUACAGUUCUUUACGUAAUUAUGAACGAAUGCAAUUGCAGCUUCAAUGGUUAAAGCUUAAACGAAGAGUCUAUAGGUUACAAGUUAGAUUCUAGGUUAUGUCCCAAUUUUAGGUAUUUUUUUUUAAAUAGACUCUUUGAAGCUAUUAGGAUUUAAAUAAUUUUUAAUGUUAUAUUACUUUGGUAAAUAUGAUUGUAAAAGUUUAUAUUCAGAUUGUUUCAUAAAAAUUGAAGAUUUUUCAUUAUUAUAAGUCGAUCAUUAUGAUAAAAAUAAAUGUACUAAAUAUAGUAUUAUAUGAGUUAUGCACCCUUACAAAUACAAGUCAAUUGAAUGUGAUUAUAUAUGCAUGAUCAAGUUAUAAUAAGAUAAUACUAUUAUUUAUGACUUUGAUCGGUUUAUCUUCACAUAUUAGGAGUUAUUAGACUAUAUUUAUUGAUAAUAUCACAUUUUAAAUUUCCUAGUGAUAUUUAUUAAACAACUGAUAUGAAAGAGAGUAAAUAUAUUUCCUUAUGUAAUUAUGAAUGAAUGUUAUUGCAGCGUGAAUGGUUAAAGCUUAAACGGAUAGUCUACAGGUCACAAGUUUGAAUCUAGGUUAUGUCCCAAUUUUAGAUUUUUUUUAAAAAAAAAAGAUUCUUUGAAACUUUUAGGAUUUAAAUAAUUUUUAAAUUCAAUUUUUUGGUGCAUAAGAUUAUAAAAGCUUAUAUUUGGAUUGUUUCAUAAAAAUUGAAGAUUUUUCAUUAUUAUAAGUCGAAUCAUUAUGAUAAAAAUAAAUGUGAUGGGUACAAUAUUAUAUGAGUUAUGCUCCCUCACAAACAAGUUAAUUGAAUACUAUUAUGUAUGAAUGAUCAAAUUUUAAUUGGGUAAUACAAUUAAUUAUUGUACAUGUCAACCUUUGAUCAAUUUAUAUUCACAUUUUAGUAGUUAUUAGACUAUAUUUAUUGAUAAUAUCUCAUUUUAAAUUUACUAGUGAUAUUCAAUAAACAACUGAUAUGAAAGAUAGUAAAUACAUUUUCUUUCAUAGUUAUGAAUGAAUGCUAUUGCAGUGUAUAUGGUUAAAGCUUAAACAAAUAGUCUAUAGGUCACGAGUUCGAAUCUAAGUUUAGGUUUCCAAUUUUAGGUUAUUUUUAGUUUUUUUUUGUAAGUCUAUAGGUCAUGAGAUUUUUUUACUUUUUUCUCCAGACCUAUCGUAUGCACCAUCAAAAUCUUCAUGAUUUUGGGACAACAAACUAUCAUCCUCAUCUAAAUCCAAAAUAUUAUUCAAUACUUCAUUUAAUUGACUAUUCGAAUUCAUCUUGUUAAAAUUAUAUGAAUCUAACGACAAAAUAAAAUCUUGAACAAUAAAAUAAGAUAAAAUUGUGAACGAAGUAAAGAAGAAAAAAUGAGUAAGGUAAGAGAGAGAGAGAAAAUAAGAAAGAAAAAGUUUAAGAGUGAUUUUUUAUUUUGAAUGGAAACAACAAGUGAUUUUAAAGUCAAAAGGUUAUUUAGUCAUUUACUCAUAGCUUGCCAAUUCAUGCCAAAAAAAUAUCUUGUCAUUUAGUAAUACUCAUUUAUUAAAUGCUCAAUUUGAGAUUGAUUGAAAAUACAUUCCCUUCUAGGGAAGAGGUUUCAUAUUUUGGAAGGACAAAUAUGAGAUGGAGACAUAUACUGCUAUCUGAAUAAUCAAAUAAAUUAAUUGUGAAUAAACUGCCAUGCUCACACCUACCUCAAAGCACCCACCACAUUUCAAUUUUCAUUUAAGGUUUUUGGGUCCAUCUAUUUUUUAACUUUUACAAUAAUCUCUCCGUCUCAUAUAAGACAAAUAUCUUAUUAAAAAUAUUUAUUUCAUAUUACUUGUUUAUUUAGUAAAUUAAAAAAAUUAUUACUUUUUCAUUUUAUCUCAAUAAUCAAUAUAACACAAAACGAAAGAAAUACUAUAUACCUAACACGUGCUUGAGAAUAUAUUUUUAACUUGUUUGGAAUUGGACACCGGUGAAAAUAAAAUAAUAGGUGGCAAUAUGAUUGUAAAGUUUUCUCAAUGGGUCAUUCUCUCUCGGUGUAGGUUACUAACGUGCGUUGGCCAUGGGGAAGAGAGCUCGUGCUCCAUCGCAGAAAACUCUAAUGGCACUGGAAGCAACAACAAAAGGAAAUCUACAUAAAGGGAAAAAGGCAUAGUAGCUUGAACUCCAGGAAGAAAUAGGAAUUGGAUCUGAAUCUAGGGAAAUGGAACAUAGUAAGGCGGAGGUGGAGAAAGAGCACCAGUUGGCUAAAUGAAAUGCCAAGUAUGUAGAGAAGGAGAACAAGGUAGUAACACAAAAACAUUGGGCAGGAAUCACAAAAUCACAAUCUUUGAAAAUGGGGUCUCCGUCUGAAAAUGGAUCGGCGGCAUGGGCAGAUGAAGUAGAAGAGGUAAUGUUGCAGAAACCAAAGGCUGGAAAAGUGUGGGAUACAUUUGACAUUUCUAAACUAGCCAAAGUUGGAUUCAAGUUAGAUUACUUGGCUCCAGAGAAACAUGGUGAAGGGUCAAUAAUCGACAUUGAUUUUGAAGAUAUUGAGUCUGAAGUUAACUAUUGGAAUAAUGUGGUGGUUUGUUAUGUACUGGGUGCACACCUUCCAUUCACUGUAAUUAACGGAUACAUCCAAAGAAUUUGGGCAAAGUAUGGGUUUAACAAGAUGGCGAUGCUGAAAAAUGGAGUCAUGAUAGCAAUGUUUAAUUCAGUUUAGGGAAAAGAGAAAGCGCUAAAAGUAGGAAUUUACCAUUUUGACAACAAGUCAUUUAUUGUCAAAGCAUGGUCAAUGGAUAUGUAAUUCACAAAGGAGGAACUGAAUUCUGUUCUGAUUUGGAUAAAACUUUCAGAAUUUGACUUCAAGUAUUGGAGUCCAAUAGGAUUAAGUAAGGUCGGGAGUUUGAUAGGAAAACCAUCACUGGCUGAUCAGAAUACUGAAAAAAAGCAGGGUCUUAAUUUUGCUAGAAUCCCAAUUGAGGUAGAGUUGGGGGUUAAUCUUCCAAAAAAAAAGUGUAUUUCAAGAAUGUGAAAGUACAGGUGAUAGAACAACAAGUCGUGUAUGAUUGGAAACCCACCCACUGUAAGUUUUGUGACAAGUAUGGGCACACUAGUGAUGAAUGUCGAAGGAAGAAUCCUUCAAAGAAGAAGGGAAUUAUGAAGGAAUAAGAGAAGCAUGGACAACCACAAACAACAGUUGGCCAGAGUAGUGAAAGACAAGAGUUUAAACACGUUGAAUUAAGAACUGCUGCGAAAAAUGUGCAAUGUGAACAACAUCAGGUUGAACACGGGGAAUUAUCUUUGAUGGGUUGGAUAACACCAUUCAAAAUCGGAAGGAGCCAAGGUCCGCAUCAAGUACAAAUUGCUAGUGAUAAUUCAUUCCAAAUAUUUAACAAAUCUAAUGAGGUAAACAACUCAACUCCAAGGUCUGGACAAAUAGUAGGUGGUAGAACCAUUUUUCCAGAAGGGAAUGGUUAGUAUGAUAUGCUGGAAUGUGAGAGGGUUUAGUGCCCAGAAUAAGCAAAAUGAAGUGGUAUUCCUCUGUAAUAAGGAAAAUGUGGGAUUGGUAGGGUUAGUUGAAAUGAAAGUAAAUAGUAAAAAUAUUGAGAAAGUGGUGAAUAAAAUGUUUGGAGGUUGGCAGUUCCUAACCAACCUAGAAUCACACUACAAUGGCAGAAUUUUACUAGUAUGGAGACCAGAUUACUAUAAAGUGGAGCUAAUGAGAAGCUUAACCCAAAUGUUGACUUGCAAGGUCUGUUAUAUACUUCUGCAAUUGACGUUUAUGGUGUAAAUUGCUUAUGCAUACAACAUUAGGGAGGAUAAAAGAAAACUGUGGAAGGAAAUUAAAAACCAAAGUUCAAAUUUUCCAAAGCCAUAGCUAUUAUUGGGUGAUCUUAAUUAUGAUUUACACGCUGAAGAUAGAAUUGGAGGAAACCCCAUCUCUUUACCGGAAGUAGCAGAAUUUCAAGAUUGUAUUGAUGUAAGUGGCUUGAUAGAAUUACCUCAUGAAGGAAAAAAAAAUACACAUGGAAUGAUAGAGUGAUAGGGAAUAGAAUUCAAUCUAAGAUAGAUUGGAUGUUCAUCAAUUUGAUAUGGUUAAAUAGUAUGCCGUCAUGUGGAACAUUGUAUCUACCCGAAGGUAUAACUGGCCACUGCCCUUCAAAGGUCUAAUUACAAAAUCAAGUUACCAGAACAAGAAGAGCAUUCUAGUAUUGUAAUGUUUGGGCACAACAUCCACAAUUCAAUGACAGAAUCCAAGCAGUAUGGGACACACAUGUGGAGGGAUGUAAAAUGUGGAAAGUGGUGAAAAUAUUAAAAUUAUUGAAACCAGGUCUGAAGAAACUAAAUACACAUUAUUUCAGAAACAUUGUUACUGAUGCAUGUGAAGAUAGGGAGGCCUUGUUAGAAGCGCAACAGAAGCUUUAAAAUGAUCCUCAAAACAAGUCUUUACAGGAAGAAGAUAAAGUUUAAUAUGACAAGUACAGGUACACUUCCUAUAUGGAUGAAAGCUUUCUCUAACAACGAAAUAAGGCAACAUGGUUGAAGCUAGGAUAUGACUGCACGAGAUAUUUUUUCGCUGUGAUAAAACAUCGGAGACUCCAGCAGAUAAUAACACAAAUUAUAGAUGACCAAGAUGAAUAGCAGUAUGAUCAGGAGGCGAUUGCAACUAUAUUUGUGAGUUUUUAUGAGCUAUUCGGGUAAGAAGAUUCUACGAAGGAGGCAGAUUGCUCAGCUUUCUUUAGUAAUGGUCAUAUCCUUUCUAUAGAGUAACAACUAGAAGUGCAACAGAGGUUUAAGCAAAUGAAUGUCAAGGAAACAAUGUUCAAGAUAGACUGCAACAAAAGCACUGGCCCUGAUGGAUACGGGAGUGGAUUUUUUACAUCAUCUUGAAAGAUUGUGGGAAAAAAUAUUACAGAGGCCAUCCUAGAAUUCUUCGAAAAUGACAAGUUUUUGAGACAAAUUAAUGCUAUAAAUAUUACCUUAAUUCCUAAAGUUGUUGUUCCGAAAUUUGCCAGCCAAUACAGACUUAUUUCCUGUUGUAAUAUAUUGUAUAAGUGCAUUACAAAAAUGAUCUGCACAUGACAAGACAUCUCCUAGAUGUUUAAUAAAAAUUGAUCUGAGGAAGGUAUACGAUAUGGUGAACUGAGAAUUUGUAAAGAAAGCAUUACAGAGAUAUGGGUUUCCUAAAUUGGAAAAAGAGAUACGAACGGAGAGGAAUAACCAAUCGAUGAAAGAACAUGAAACCAUUCUGUUUCAAUAUAGGUAUGAGAAACGGUUGGGGGCAAUGAAGUAGGUGAAAUGGUUUGGAUUUAAGUAGAUUUACAGAACUUGUCAUGACAUGUGUCACAUCCGCUAUGCUUACGGUUAAGGUAAAUAGAGAAGGGAGUGGUUUUUUUGCUGGUAAACGAGGAUUAAUAUAGGGGGAUCCUAUGUCGCCUUUGUUGUUUGUGCUUGUAAUGGAAUACUUGUCCUAAACUUUGAAGUGUAUGAGUGAGUUGCCUGAUUUUCAUUUUCACCCAAUGUAUGAGAAACUCAACUUGACGCAUUUAAUAUUCGCAAACGAUUUGAUGAUGUUUUGCAAAGGGGAUGUUCAAUCAGUAAGCAGAAUAAUAGAGGCUUUGCAGCAUUUCAGUAGUGUCACUGGUUUAGUUGCAAAUAUGGAGAAGUCAAACAUAUUUAUGGCAGGGGUAAAUGAUAUUACCAAAAAGCAAUUGUUGCUAAGAACAUGAUUUUCGCAGGGCUCUUUUCCUAUUAGAUAUCUCGGGAUGCCGUUAUCUUCUAAUAAAUGGAGUAAAAUGGAGUGUCAUUAACUGAUACAAAAGAUCACGAGUAGAAUAACAAAGGUCUACUCAGAACAGUUAUCCUAUGUAGGAAGACUACAGGUGACAAUAUCAGUAUUGUUUGAUUUUCAUAACUUUUGGGGUUCUGCGUUUAUUCUACCACAGGGUGUAUUAAAAGAAGUUGACAAAAAAUGCAGAAAAUACCUCUGGAGCGGUAAGUAUGAUAAGAGGAGGACACUAUUAGUAUCUUGGGACAAAGUGUGUCUGCCUAAGAAGUUCGGUGGACUAAAUAUUAAGGGGAGCAAGUUGUGGAAUGUGGCGUCGGUGGGAAAACUUUUAUGGCAGUUAAUAGUCAAUAAGGAUGUAUUGUAAGUCAAAUAGUACAUGGGGUGUAUAUGAAGGAUAACCAUGAUAUCUGGGCGCAUACAUCACCGCAAGAUAGUAGUUGGUACUGGAGGAAGUUGAAUGCACUGGAGUCUGAUAUGGCGGAGUGGUACUCUCAAGGAGCUUAUGUCCUAGCAGAAAAUGGGAAGUACUCAACAGGAGCCAGUUAUGCAGUAUUGCUAGGCAUAAAGAGAAAAAUGAGGAUUUCAGACUUGAUAUGGAGCAAGAUCUCUCAACCAAGGCACAUAUUUAUAAUAUGGUUAGCUGUACAUGGUAGAUUGUUGACAAAAGAUAGACUACAAAGGAUGAAUAUACAAGUAGAUAAUAUAACAUGCAACUUGUGUGAUGACCAGUCUAUAGAGACACAACAUCACCUUUUUUUCUGAAUGUAAUUGGAUGAAAGGACUCAUUACAGCAAUGACUCAAUGGGCUGGAGUGCAAUUUCCAUCGAGGAAUGUCAAACAUGUGUUGAAUUGAAUCAGAAGGAGGCACUGGAAGCAAAUUAACAAGGAAAUAAUUGCAGCACUGUGGGGUUCCAUACUAUAUCACGUGUGGAAGGAAAGGAAUUGGAAACUGCACAGGGGAACUAUUGUCAUUAUGAAAACUACAAUCACACAAAUAAAGAUAAGUUUUAGUGUUAGAUUAGAGUUAGAAACACUAGGAAAGGCAAAAAAUGUGAUUUGUUAUUUCAGCAUUUUACUAUGUAAUUAGAGAUAUGUUGGAGGUUUAACUCAAAACAGUCCUUCUUCGAAAUAGCUGUAAAGUUAAAUGUUCUUUAGGUGUAUUGAUUUGGUUGUUAAUGGUAAUAUAACCAAAACAAAUAUGAUUGUCAUGACAAUAAUAAGAGAGUACAAAGUAUGAUCACUUGAAGUACAACUAGGGCCUACAGGUAGUAAAAUAGUUAUUGUUUGAUCAUUUUAAUAAUAGGUUAAGUAAAAAUUAAUAGAGAAAUUUUUGCAAAUAGUCAUUAUAGUAAAUUUAAUUAUGUUUCAUAAUUAUAGGUUGCAUAUUUAUAGAUUGUAGCUAUAAUUUAAGUUGUCUCGUUUGUAUUAUUCGUGGAUACAUUUGUAUAAUUCACGUGUACGUUUGAAUAAUUGAGAUAAUUUGUAUAAAUUCGUAAUUACGAAUUUAUACAAACACAAAUAUUUAAACUUUAAAAAGUGAUACAAAUUAUAUUAUAAAAAAUUUAUACAAAUUUUAGUAUUUAAAUUUGAAAUUAUACAAACUCGAAACCCUAUCCCCACAUAAUUAUUAUUGAAUGUUGAUCUCGAUUCACUACAACAAAAAUGAUCACUAUCGGCAAUUAAUUCUCAAUUGUGCUAAACGUGUAUUUUUAGCGGCAAUUGACACUCUUUGUAUCUGUCCCUUAAACUUUUAACGACAUUGGUUCUAAUGAAACUUAACUAAUGUCGGUAAAGACUUUAACACUCUUUAUUAGGCCUCAUUUGUUUGCACUUAAUGGAGGUCUGAAUCUAAAUCAUUCAAAUUCAGCUUAUUAAGUACAUUUGGUUUUUAGGUUUGAAUCUCAAUCAGCCCAUUAAGUUCAUUUGUUUUAUUUUUAAAAAGCCUCUUAAUGGGUCUGAAGAGGUCUGAAUGAAUCAGAUCUGUAGGAGACUCUUAACAACAUUCAGAUUUGUUUAAUAAGUUAUCAAAUAAUAAAUAUCGCUUCUCUACUUUAACCGUGCUUUUUGUCGCAUAACUAAAAACUUUGUUUUUCUCUUUUCUCAAUCAAACGUCAUUUUCCCCUUCUUGAACUGAUAAAUUUUCAUAAAUCUUUUCAAGUUUUUUUUUAUAUUAAUUUUCUUGUAUUGACUGUGUCAAAAACAUUGUUGGUGUAUUAGCUAGCGUUUAUCAAGGUUUUUGAAUGAAAAAAAUUUCCAAAAUCAUGAUUAUUAAAACUUUUUAUUAUCAAAAGCGAUAUAUUUUGUUGAAAUGAAAUUUUUAUUAUAUUUUAUUAGUUUAAUGUUAAUUUCACAUGCACAUUCAGAUAUUGAAAACAAACAAUAUUAAUUAUUUAGUGUUCAGAUUUAGAGACCACAUCUUAAUAUUCAGAUGUGUAUUCAGAUCAAAGUACCUGAAUCUUAAUAUUCAGAUGUGUAUUCAGAUUCAGACCUCUUAGUCUGGCUGGAAACAAAUAAGGCCUUCCGCUAUUUUUGUUGUAGUGAGUGGUAAUUAAUUAAAAUUAUAGUUAUAUAAACUAAUUAGCUAGUAUAUGUUUGCUUAACUAUACUAUUUUCCCAAAUAAGUUUAUAUUAUCCAUCAUAAAAUAUAAAUAACCACACGUAUUAGAAUGUAUAAAAAUAAUGUACAAUAGAGUAUAUUAGUAACACUUAUAUAUUAGUAAUAUUUGUAUUAGUUAUGCUUGCAUUAGCUAUAUAUAACUUUUUAUUUAUGCAUUGUUUGGUUUGAUGUAUUAAAAAUAGUACGCAUUGUAUAAUUAUAUUUAUUUACAAAAUAGUCUCCACAAUUAUGACGGAAAAAACGUAAAAUGUUUUUAGGGUCAAUUGGGUCUUUAACCAUAUUAAUACACAUAAAAAUUAAGAAAUUGACGCGACUCCUUAAAAAGGGCAUGUAAUUACAGUGGGCGCGAAAUGGCGUGAGCAUAUGUGAUGAUUCCCCAACUCAAUGCGGAGGAGCUCGUAAAGUUUGCUGAGAAAGUUUUUUGUGUGCUUUGAGCGCAAGAUCCAUGGGUUACCACAUAUGAAAAAUUAAGGAAUUUCUGUAAUUCCUAAAAAAAGGGCCUGUGGGUGUGGAAAUGAGCAAGAAAAUAAUAGCAUGAGCAUACGUGAUAGGUCCCAACUCAUGAAUUUGGAGGUCCUCAUAAAAAAUUUUCAAAUUUUUUUUUGCGUGCUCAUGGCUAAAGAUCUAUGGGAUAAUACAAAUAGAAAAUUGUGGAAUUUAAGCUAUUUCAAAAAUGGGCCUGAAGAUGCGGAUAUGAGUGAGAAAAAAAUGGUGUGAUCAUGCGCGAUGGUUCCCAACUCAAUAUAGAGGUCAUCCUACAAUUUUCUUAGAAAUUUUUUGAGUGCUCCAAGCGCCAAAUCUAUGAGCUAAUACAUAUAAAAAAAUUGAAGAAUUCACGCGAUUCACAAAAAUGACAUAUGGAUGCGAAAAUGUGCGCGAAAAAAAUGGUGUGAGCAUACAUGAUGGUUCUGCAACUCAAUACGGUGGUCCUCAUAAAGUUCUUUCAGAAACAUCUUUUGGGUGCUCCAAAAGUCAGACCCAUAGGCUAAUACACACAAAAAUUGAAGUAUUUGCGUGAUUUCAGAAAAGGCAUGUAUAUGCAAAAAUGGGAGAAGAAAAUGGUGUGAAUAUAUAUACGUGAUGGUUCCCAACUCCAUACGGAGAUCCAUAUAAAGUUUUUUGAGAAAAUAAUUUUUGGUGCUCCGAAUAUAUCGUCUGUAUGGUUGCUACGGAGCAUCUGAUUUGUAUAGAUCGACAUAUCAUUUGUAUUAAAGCGCAAUGAUUGUAUAUAUAUAACUAUAACAGAGGAGGAGGAGGGACUAGGGAAGAGGAGGAGGAGGAGGAGGAAGUUGUCUCAAUGUAUUUGAUAAAUAGUUUUUGUGAUAAGAGGCGGACCCACCCUUUUAGGUAGGGUGCACGUGCACUUGUUAAUUUCGGUAAAUAAAAUCAUGAGUUUGUGAGUGUAUGUGUGUGUAUUGAUAUAUAUUGAAAAAUUGAGAGAAAUUAGAAUAUAAUUAACGUACUCAUCAUAAAAAGCAUAAGUAUAUAUGUUAUUGUGCUGCCGGUACAAGCUAAAGUAUGCACAUGCAAGACUUGAAUUUGAAUCUAGCUAGAGUGUUGUUUCACUUUUUUUUAUGUUAAGCUUAUCAUAGAGGCUAAAGCUUAUAUUUGAGCUAAGGUAAUAUUGGUGCACCAACUUCAAAUUCCGAUUCGCCUUUUGCAGCAUUAGUUAUUUUUAGCCAAUACGAUAACUAAAAUGGAUCGGAGGGAAUAUCAUGAUUUGAAUAAAGGAUCUAACCAGAGUCAAAUUUAAAUAUAUUGAUGAAAUUUCUAAAAUUCCAACGUUAUAUCAUCCUUUUCUUAAGAAUUACCAAAUCAUAAUUAGAGUUGAGAAAAAUUUAAAGCAGAAAAUAACAUGUAUUACUAUAUGAAGAUUGGGUUGUAACAUAAGCAACCACCAAUGUUCAUUACAAGACUCGACAAUAUAUAAGUACUCCAAAUUACAAAAGAAAAGAGACAACAUAUAUAUAUAUAUAUAUAUAUAUAUAUAUAUAAUGAUGGAUCAAACUCGAUAGAUAAAUCCAUCUUAUUCUUCAUCUCCACAAGCCAGAUUUAGCUUUCAUCAACCUUACUGGACCCUGCAAUGCAAUAUUAAAUCAACAUUAAAUAUAUAGUAUGCGCGUACACACAUAUAUAUCGUUUUGUAACAUAUAAGUUUAAUCAAUAGUCAGACAUAUAUAAAUUACAAAUAAAAGAGAUAUUAUACUGUCAAUUGAAUAAGUAUAAUCACCGUACGUUGAGCAAUCAGUGGAAGGGCUGAUCUUGUAAGGAAUGUUGACUCCACAAACUCCAGGGAGCCCAGCGGCUUUUCCUGUAUCAAUGCCCUUAAUAGAAUUAGCUGCCGAUUUAAGGCAAGUGCACGCUGUCUUCCGGUCUUCUGGGGUCUUGGCUGCGCCCAAUAGACCCUUAACACCACCACAACACCCUCCUAGAGGGCCGCGACCCUCGAGAUAAGGGAGACAAGGAGCCAAGCCAGACGUAACCUCGCCGCAGCUCAGUGACUCUGCAUGGGGUGCAACCACCACCAUGCAAAAAACCACAAAGCAUGCAAUUUUUCCAAACAUUUCCAUUCUUAUAAAAAAAUUGAGUAAAGAUUAUAGAUAUAGUAGUACAAUUGUAUUUGUUUUGUGUGUUAGGUGUAAAAGCUAGUGAGUAUUUAUAGAGAGGAAAUUAGUGGAAUUAAAAAUGAGAGAAUUAGUUGGGAGUUAAGAGUUAAAUGAAAUGAGUAUAAAGUCAAAUUUCGUUUGUUACGUGACUAAUUUUUAUUGAACCACGCUAUACACGAUUUAAGGCCCAAUCCACAAAUUGUCCCAAUACUACUUUUCCUGUUACAGUGACGAAGUCAGAAAAUUUAAUUAUAUCGUAAUCUUUUUCUUAAAAUAAUGUGUGUUCGAUGGCUCUACUCAUGCUUUGAAUCAUUUUAUUUUUUAUUCUUUAUGGUAUAAAGUAAAUGUUUUUUUUUUAGAAAAAAAAAAAAUACAAGGAGAAGAGUGGUUAUUAAAUAAAGAAGAGUAAUAAAUAAGGAGAAGGGUGGGAUGUAAAAAAGUCAUAAUACAUGAAAUUGAUUAAACAAUGUCUCGAGUACAAACUAAGGAGACAGAGUACCUUACUGUUAGAUGUGGAAAUAUUAUGGUACAUGAGUUAAUUUUGAAACAAAUGACCCAUUAAUUUCUUUUAAAAAUUGGAUUUAAGGUGUAAUGUUUAUUUAUUUAAAUAAAUCAAUUUGCUUUCAUGACUUUUUAUUUUUAAAAAUGAGUUUAAGGUGUAAAGUUUAUUACUUAAUUAUAAAUGAUUAAAUAUUUUUGUAUGUUCAAUACAAAUGCUUGUUUCCGGUCAAAAAGAUCAUGAAAAAAGUAUACAAAAUAAUUAAACCUAUAGCAAAAUUAUAAUUAUGUGUUAUAGUUAUAAGUUGCAUAAUUUGCUCACCAUAGCGAAUAUGCUAUGGCUAUUUCGCUACAUAUAUAUAUAUAAAAGAAUUUAAGAUAUAUAUAUUUAUAUAUAUAUAUAUAUGUGUGUGUGUGUUAUAGUUAUAAGUUGCAUAAUUUGCUCACCAUAGCGAAUAUGCUAUGGCUAUUUCGCUACAUAUAUAUACAAAAGAAUUUAAGAUAUAUAUAUAUUUAUAUAUAUAUAUAUAUAUAAUAUAUAUUUGCAUAAAUUAUUGUCCGUCUCUCGUGGCUGCCUUUCAAUUCAAUUUUAUGUGUUUGUAUAUCUGUAUAUAAUUUGAAUUUGUAUACAAUUUAAUCGAAAUAAAAUGUUGGUAUAUCAAAUAUUGCUCUCUGUUAUACAUUGUAUUUUAUAUAAUCUAUACUUCUAUAAAGCGAGAAAGAGAAAGACAAAAGAGACCUAAGCAUGAGAAUAUUUGGAUUGUAUAAUUAUAAGUGUAUAGAACAAAAAUAUUUGUAUUUGCAUGUGUACAUACAAUUUUCUUCCGCUUUGUACAAACAGAAACACAAUUUAUACAUUUUUGUUUGUAUAAAGCGAGAGAGGCGGGGGAGAGACUGGCGAACAAGAGAGGGAGAGUGUCGAGCGAGAAUUUCAAGGAGAGAGGCGAGAACUGUGGUUUUAACAUCUAAUUUAAAUCAAUAGUUUGUCAUUAUAUACAAUUUUCUCAAUUAAAAAAAAAUAAAUCUUUUUAUUAAAUUAAUUUAAUUUACUUUUCAAUUUGGAUCGGUUUAUAACUAAACCUAUCAAAUCUUAUACAACAAUUCGUCAAACCUCAUGUCCCUGAUUACCCCUUCUUCCUUGUGGAGAGGUUUAACAACCAUCAAAGGAUAUAGGGCCACCCUAUAAUAAAACAAACUUUAAACGGUAAUAGAUAUAUAAUACAAUUAUUAAUUUUAUCAUUAACAUAAUAGAAUUAGUUAAUUAUCAUUGGUGUACUAUAGUUAUAGGCUUGAAAAUAUUUAUAAAGAGUGUUAAUUAUCUUUAAAAUAAAAUGUUUUGUCACAAUUAAGCUAUUAUUAUUAAUUAAUUAUCGCUAAAUUAAAACUAGUAGCGAAACUAGAAUCAGAAACAGAUUUAAAAAAAAUAUACGAAAUAUUUUUCUUAAAGAAGAAUUGUUGUUAAUAUGUGUCUAAAGAAUCUUACUCAUUCCAACAAGCUUUGCAAAAACACGAAGUUACCAAGUUUAAUGAACCAGUGAAGAACAAAAGAAUAGAAGAAUUGGAAUUAAUUCACAAAUCUAAAAUUUGUAAAGCACGUACCAGAAUCUGAAAAUUUUUAAUAGGAAAAAGAUCAAGUCUACUGAACUCACAGUGUUCCCUUAAGGAAAUUAUUCCCCUCUAGUAUCCGAGGUUUGAUUUGGAAUAUGACCUUCCAGGGUAAAAUAAUCUCAAUCAUCAGAGUAUAGAUACCAAAAACUCAGGUGUCAGUGAACCACUCAACGACAGUAAAGUACACUUAGAAUACUAGAUUUAGUAGUUGAAGAAGAAGUCCAUCAAUUCUAUUUUAAUAUGAGAGGAAAUCCCUCAAUUUAUAGAAAACAAAGGGUAGUGCAAAAAGGUUCUUAUUGUGCCUUACCGAAAAGGUCACAAACCUUUGGAAAAGUCACAAUCUUUCAGAAAGGUCGUCACCUUUCAUAAAAGUCACAACUUUCCAUAAAAGUCACAAGUUUUUAUAAAAGUCGCAACUUUUCAUAAAAGUCGCAAACUUUCAUAAAAAUCACAAUUUUUCAUAAAAGUCGCAAUUCUUCAUUUUCCAUUCACACCUUUUUAAAAUCGAACAAAAGAUCUUCGAUAUGAAUUAAUUUCUCUUAAUAAGACUCUACGUGAUUUGAAUAUGAAAUUAUCUAAGUUUAAUAUAAAUAAUAGUCAAAUUUUAAUACAAAUAUAAAAAGAAAAUAGAAAGAAGUUUGACGAAUAUGAGGUGGACACAAAUUGCCAAUCUAAUAGUCGACUGAGACUGAAGAAAUUAAUUGCGACAACAACCAAUGAAUACGACUUUCUCUAUUCAUUUUAAUUAUUCAUAAUAUUAAAAAAAAAAAUUAAUUUAUCCACUUAAUUAGCUUAUCAAGAUAAAUUAUAUAUUUUAUUUUAUUAUUAUUAGCUAUGUAUUCUAUUUUAUUUUUCAAAUUCAUUGAGACUAUAUAUAUAUAUAUAUAUAUAUAUAUAUAUUAUUGCUAUUUCUUAAUGGAACUGUAAAGCUUCUUAUAAACAAGUAAAAAUAACAAAGCUUAUAUUUAUUAAUACAUAGGUUCAAAAUUAUUACCCCUAAGAAAUUAAAAAGGUAUUAAUUAUUUUCUCGCAAGUAAUUUCUUUCAAGUUUCAUAAUGUACAAAGCAUUUAAUAAUCUUUCAUAAUUGAUAUUUUCUAAUAAUUUCUUUUCAAUUAAUAAUAUAACCAAUCUAUGCAGAUUAAUAAUUUUUGAACAUAAUAUUUCAAAUAUAUAUAUAUCAAACUUCUUCUAAUUUUUUUUCUUUCUAUACGAGAAGCUCAAUUUUUCUAUAGUACGCUAUUAUUUUUUGUAAUAAAAAAUAAAAUCUAUUAUUGCUAAAAAGCAAAUGCCCUUCCUUCAAAUUUUGAGGUCUUAAAGGCACUUAUCUUUUGUUAAUUAACCUUGUAGAAUUUGUACUAGAGUAUUGUGGUCCCGUUUGACUUCAAAUAUAUUACGAGAAAAUUUGCAAGAAAAUUUAAAAAAUAAUGUUUGAUCAUAUAAUUUAUUAUUAUUUAGCAAAUAUCUAUCAAAUAUUUUAAUUUUUAAAUUUUAGAAAAAAAAUAAUAUUUGAGUAAAGUUCUAAUAUUUAGAAAUUCAAAUAAAUCACGUCAAACUUUUAUAUUUUAUAAAUAGCAUUCGACAUUUAUUAAUUCCAACUAAUAUUUAUCUACCAAGUUACUCUAUUAAUAACUAAUAAUUACUCAUCUGUGCUAUCUAUAUAGAACCAGACCCAAAAAUAACAAAUUAUUGUUAAUGAAUUAUCAUUAAUAACAAUUAAUUGAUGUAAUGUGUAACAACUUCAAUUUCACAAUAGAAACAUUCAAAUAUUAUAAUCGUUAAAGUCAAAGUUACAACGGAAAAUGAAACUAACAAGAAAAUCGUAAAACGAUAAUGAACUAGUAAAACAAAGAAACCAUUGAAGAAGACUACUAGAAGGGAGAUGAGAAACACAGACUCAAAAAAAGGAAUGAGAGGACUAGACACUUUUCUACAAUAAUUUACGUAAUCCCUAAAUCACGUAUUACUUAUAUUGAAAGUUCGAACCGUUUUAUACCCACUACUCAAUUCGAAUCCCAAAUUAACCUGGUCCUAUAUUUUUAGCCCAAUAACAACUUAUAUGACAUUAAUAUCUAUAUUUGGUUAAACUUGAUUCAUAACAUAUUGCUCCUACCCAUAUUUUUAUUUUGUUGUGAAUUGAUAUUAAUUACUUUAUAAGCUAUUUUUUUAAAAAGGAAUAUGUUUAUUAUAAAAUGACAUUACAAACUUAAAAUAAUUUGUCAAAAAAAUUUAAAAAUUUGAGGCACACUAGAUGUGUACCGUGUUGUGAUAGAUGGGUUGUGUAGAGAGAGGAGAUUUACGAAAGCACAAAAUUGUUUGAUAACAUACUUUUUAAUUUGCUUUUAUAAUCCUCUUUUUUUAGAAAUAUUUUAUUUUUAGUUUUUAGGUAACAUGUUUAAGGUCAUAAUAAGACUAAAUGUCGUUUUGAUAUAUUUGACAUAACUUCAAUUUAGGAUCACAAGAUUAAAUUAUCUUUUUAAACUUUGUAUCAAGUUAAAUUAGAUUGUUAUUUUUUGAAAUGAGAGAAAAUGAUCAAAUGACCCCUUAACGUAUAACCGGAUUUUCAACUAUACACUUAAAUUUUAUGGGAGUCCUAUCACCCUCUGAACUAUUUAAAAAUGAAAUAAUUAUACCGUUAAAAAGCCAUAACCACCAAAUCUAUGGUGGAAUGUGAGUUUCACCACAUCAUCAAAUUAUUAUUUUUUUAAUUCUUUUCUUAUAUAUUCUUACCUAUCUCUUGAAAUACUGAAGAUAUUUUCACCAUUUUCACCAUUACUAGAACACCACGAGUCCAUUAAAAUUGGGUCUUUAAGGAAUAAUAAUAAUUUCAGAGCUCGUUCAAAGAUAUUUGGAUUUUGCUCAUUUGAAACCUAAAAAUCAAAUUAGAAAAAGUUGAAGGGGGAAGAGAAGACGAAUAUGAUGGAAUAUUGCCAUUAAUGGUGGUCACCGAAGAUAAGAAAUCCUCUCAAGAAAGAUGAGGAAGAGGAGCCUACCAUGUCUUCCACAUUGUCAUCUAUAGCGACGACAAUUUCAAAAAAGAAGACACCGAUUAUACGACAAUUGAUGGACUAACUAGAUUAAUAGCUAGAAUUUUUGAGAUAUAGUUGAUUAAUUGAGAUUUGAUAUUAGUAAUUAAAGGAUAUAUUAGAAAAAAAUUAUUUUUUUCUGGUUGGCCCAAUCAGAUUCAAAGUAAACUCAUAUUAAUUUUUCUCAAAUCAGAUCCAAAGCAUCUUGGGGUGAUAUAAAUAUAUGUCAUCAAUUGAUUUAGGUUGAUUGAUUUUGCAAGAGCUUUAUAAAUGUUUGAAAAUUUGUUUGGAGUCGACGAAAGUGAAGAUGGUGGCUGUAAGACUUAGGUGAUUGAGAGAUUUGUUUAUAUUGAUGGACAAGAAAGAAAACAAACAAAUAAUUAAAAAUGCAUAUAUUUGUUGAAAAAAGAUAUUCCAUCUGUUUCACAAAAAAUGAUUUGGUUUGACUUGACAUGAAGUUUAAGUAAAUAAAGAAGACUUUUGAAUCUUGUGGUCGUAAAUCAAAGUUAUGUCAAAUGUACAAAAUUAUCUUUUAAUUUUAUGGUCUUAAAUAUGGCACGUGGAAAGCUAAAGUUAAAAUGUUAGAGGUCAUUCUUUUGGAAAUAAACUAAAAUGGAAAGAAUGUCACUCUUUUUUAAAUAAAAAAGAGUUUAACUACUAUCCACCGACGGUGGACAAAAAAUUACACGGGCAUAUAUUUUUGGAAAUAUUUAAUUUUUUAAUUAAUAUAUUUUAAUAUUAUUAAUAUUAAAAUAAAAAUAAUAACAGAGUGUUAUAUGGUAACUUGAAUUAUAAAUUAAUUGUACAAAUUUAAUUAGGAUUCUUAUUUGUCUUACCAAAAACAAAAAAUACAUAAUUUCUUGUGUUUUCUUAUUGGAAAGCACUUCAAUCCUUCAAAGAAAAUCAUUGCCAACAUAUUUUUUUUUAUAAGAACCGGUACUUGUUGCCAUUGAAGCAAUGCUAGCAAAAUAUUAAUAAGAAACUAUUCCAGAAACAUAAAGUGCAACAAAAUCAACAUAUUCAAACUUAUAAGAGUAAGCAAACAAAAUCAAACACUAUUAAAUACGGCCCAUGAUUUAAUCACAAUUGCAUGCUUGGUUACAUUUUUUUAAACGAAAUCCUUCUUUUGAACAAACAAACUCUUGACCAAUAAUGGAUUUAUCUUUUCUUGAUCUACUAAUUCGAUUUUUGCGCACACUAAAACCAUUACGAUGAGCAUAAUCAAGAUAAAAUUUAAAUCUAGUAUCAAGUGAUUGAAAUUCCAUACCGAUGUAAGACUCUCUUAAUUCUUGCUCACCUAGUUGAGGAACAAAAGAUACAACUGCAUUCAUGUUGCUUUCUAUAUCCUCCAAGGAAUCUUCAAUUCCUUCUGCAUUUUGCUCUUCUAAAUUAGAGAUUUCAAAAGUUUCCUGCAAUACACAAUUAUUAGAUAUUAGACUAAUAGGGUAAGUUAGCUUUAAAAUUUUAAAUAUUUUUCAUGGCUAAUGUAUUGAACUUCUUCAAUUUGCUAAAAAGUUCUUAAACGUAUUCUUUAAAUAUCUUCAUCACUACAAAACAUAAAUUUCUUCAUACAUUAAAACAAGAAUAUUUCUUUGAAACGUUUAUUCAUGUUGCGAAAAAGAUUUAAUAAGUUAUGUAAAAAAAGAUAUACGAGGAAAACGCUACCAUGAUAAUUGUUUCAAAUUGCUUCAAUGGUGGAUAGUUGGUUGCUUCAAUGGUUUAUGUAGAAAAAGAAGAACGUUAAUCCAACUAAGAAAACACAAGAAAUUAUGUAUUUUUUAUUUUUGGUAAGACAAAUAAGAAUCCUAAUUAAAUUUGUACAAUUAAUUUAUAAUUCAAGUUACCAUAUAACACUAUGUUAUUAUUUUUAUUUUAAUAUUAAUAAUAUUAAAAUAUAUUAAUUAAAAAAAUUAAAUAUUUCCAAAAAUAAAAUGUCCGUGUAAUUUUUUUGUCCACCGUCGGUGGAUAGCAGUUAAACUCUAAAGAUCAAAUAAAGUUUUAAUAACAGAUUUUGGUGCUCACUCUCCAGAGAGAGUCAAAUACAUUUAGGGAACUAAUUAUUUCAAUUUUGAAUAGUACAAGGGAUGAUUAGACCCCCGUGAAAUUUAAUUGUAUAGCGUUGAGGGCAUUUAAUCAUUUUCUCUUUGAAACAGAGAAUAUAUAUCAUUACGGAUCUAAUCUCCAAAAGAUGAAGAGUGAGUAAACCCUGAAUAAUUUGCGACAUUUAAUACGUUGUUUACUUUAAUUAAUGGACUUAUAAUAAUAAGUUGGAAAGGACCGAAAAAGUUUAAUAUAUAUUGCAUGGUGAAUUUGUACCUUCAUGAAUUUAUUUAAAAGUAUACUUUUUAUAGGCAUUUGUGAUGGUGAUGAUGUUAUAAGUAUAUUUCUCAAUAAUUAGCAUUAUACGUGUAAGAAGUGGUUAGAAAAAGGAGGUACCUAGAUGAAUGAGCACACAAUAGCGUAUACUAUAUUACUCGAAUUUGAUAUAUAUGUGUAAUGCAUAUUAAAAGAACCCUAGUAAAAGUAGACCAAAAAUAUUGAAUAGACGAGAGAGUACAUAUACCAAAUAAGAUAGAUGUGUAUUAUCAAAGAUUAGAUUAAUACAACAUAGCCAAUCGUGAAAUUUCGAUACAAGACUCGACUACACACGAUUUUAAAAGAAACACAGGAAAACAGAAAGUAACAACUGAUAUAAUAUAAUCAAUCGUCAAAUUUCGAAACAAGACUCGAGUACAUACGAUUUUAAACGAAACACAGAAAAAAGAGAAAGUGACAACUGAUACAACAUAGAAAGAAAGGAUCCAUAAGCAAGAUCAAUGCUAUCUAUCUUAUUCUUAAUUCUCCUCAUGAAACCAAAUUCUGAUGAUCAGCUUUACUGAACUCUGCAUUGAUAAUGAACAAAACCAACAUUAAUAAUAAUAAUGAUGAUAACAAAAACAUAAUGUACUAACUAUAAUAGUAUUUUUUUUAUUAUAUAAUUACAUAUAUAAAUAUUUUGAAACUAAUAUUUCUUAACAGUAAAAUAUAAAUAAAAAAAUGCACUUAUUUUUUGAGAAAACCAAACACACUUGUAGGUGCUAGCACAUAUCAUUUUUUUGUUACUUUAUUUUUCAUACUACGAAGAGUUAGGUGUUGUUAUAGGUAAAAAAAGAUGAAAAAUUUAACAUACUUAGAGCAGUCAGUAGAGGGGCUGAUCUUGUAAGGGAUGUUGACACUACAAGUGUUAGGGAGAGCAGCAGCUUUGCCCAAAUUGAGUCCUGUAAAAGAAGAAGCAGCUGAUUUUAGGCAAGUGCAUGCGGCCUGUCGGUCUACUGUAGUCUUGGCUUGACCCAAAAGACCCUUAACACCAUCACAACAGUUUCUGAGAGGACCGCGGUUCAUUAGAUAAGGGAGACAAGGAGCCAAGGUAGAUGUAACUUGACCACAAGUUAAAGCCUCUGCAUGGGGUGCAACCACUACCAUGCAUAAAAGCACAAAGCAUGCAAUCUUGUUAACCAUUUCCAUUCUUAAUGAUUUAUGAAAAUUAGAAUAGUAAUUAUGAGGUUUAUGAGGAAGUAGUGGAUGAGAAGAAAUGUGUUUUGGUUGAGUGUUUUUAUAGAGGGAAAUUUGGAGUAGAUGGCCAAUGGAGGAGUGAGAGAGGUAGUUGGUUGUUAGGUUGAAAAUUUAAAGCAUUUUUAUGGUUGUACAUUAUUUUGCUGGCUCUAAAGUCAUGUGGUAGCUAGUUCUAACAUCUUACGUGUAGGAGUUUUUUUUUUCUCACCAAAGUUCCCAUAAAUAGAUUCCUCGAUCAAUGUAGGACUUUUACCUACUUUAAUAUCCCUUUUUUUACGUAGAUCCAAUUGAGAUGUGGAUCGAAAAUUCAAACAGGAAUGAAUAUAACUCUAAUAUCAUGUUAAGAUAUGUUUUUUAGAUCUAAUUUAAUAAUAAAUGCUAGCUUAUGAGAGGAGUAUUGUCCACAUCCUUAUAAGUAAAUCAUCAGUUUAUUUCCUGAUUAACGUGAGACUUUUACCUACUCUAACAGUUUGAUCGAAGAUUUUUUUUAAAAAAAAAUUAUGAAGUUAUAGAGUUAAAGAUGAAAUUGUAUUGGAUAAUACUUUUACGAAAGAAUAAAAAUGAUGUGAUUAUAGCUUUAAAAAUAAAAAAAAUAAUUAAGAUUUUAAAUACAACUUCAAGUUAAAUAUUUUACGACCAUAAAUUUAAAUUUGGGAAGUGACGAAGUUUAUUUUACUUCUGGCGUUCUUAGCUGGAUUACAACAACGUUUAAUUAAUCAAGGUCUUCAUUAGUGUUUAGACACUUAACCACCCAAGUCUUUAAUGCUUUUUCUACUUACCAGCUUUAUCUCUUAAAAAUUGAUACAAAAUGACUACGUAUUAUAUUUUAUAAAGUUGAAAAUGUGUUCCAUUUUCUUUUUCAAAAUUAUCCUUAACACGUUCCUUAUUAAAUGUAUACAUUUAGAAAUAAUCAUAUCAAUACACGAUCAAUAGUUAUAACGUAUACUUGUUUCUUAGUAUUUCUUAACCCUUUAAUCACCAAAGAUGACGGUGGUUUUAUAAAUAGGCAUUUCAUUAAUAUAGAUUUUGAGUUUAAAUCAUAUUAAUUAUAAAGUCAUAUUAGUCAUUUUUUUAUGGUACCAACACUACAAUUAAUUACCGCUACAAUAUGCAUUUUUAGCGGGAAUUUAACACUCUUUAUAUAUGUUUCUAAAGUCUUUAGCGACAUUGAUUUUAACGACAUUUAACUAAUGCAGGUAAAGACUUUAACACUCUUUGUUAAUGUCAGCAUUUAUUACCGUCAAAAGCUGUUUUUUGUGGUAGUGCAAUUUAGGAUAAAAAGUCUUACAUCGAUCAAAUACAUGAAAGAUACUUUUCGUUUUUUAAGAGUCAAACAAUUUAAGUUUGACUAGUAAUUUACACACGGAAUUUUCUUUUUAUUGAAAUGAAAUGUAUAUAUAUACUUAUAAACUACGUAAAAGUAUUAUAAGUCAUAAUUCAAAAUAUUUUUAAAAUGUAUAAAAAAUUUACGAUUAAAAUAGAUUUGUUUGAAUCUCGAUAUUCAAAAAGUGUCACAUAAAAUGAGACGAAUGGAAUAUAUAUAUAAUACGUUAGUGAUGCGUUAUAAAAUUAUAUGGGCUUAAAUCUAAAAUGGACAAUAUUACUAAUGACUUGAACCUUUAAAAAUGAUAUCUGUUCAACUCAUGUGUCAUCUUUAUUGAUAUAUAUGGACCAAAGCUCUACAUAUAGGCAAAAUCUCAUGUGGUGGAGUAAACCACUGCGUCUAUAUAAGAGGAGGUGCAUGUGAAACCCCAGAUAAAAAGUGUAACAUCAACAAAAUCAAUUGAUGAAAACAUAAAUUAUAUAAAUAAGCAAAUUUUACAUUUUAAUGACAUAUUUUAAAAUCGCGCAGACCUAGAUUUAACUAGAUUCAGGUAGGAAAAAAGAAACAGAACCUGACACUUUGACGUUUCUUAUAUGUUGCACAAAGUGUUGAUUGCUAAUUGGACCACGAAUUCAGCUAUAUUAUUACAUGCUUUCUCUUGGUCCAUGUAGUAUAAAUUUGUGUCGGUCCCAAUAUUAAUUUGGUAGAAGUUGAGUAAAGAUUUGAGCCACCCAAACUCAUUAAUUAGGCCAAACAAGAGGAAAUUUCUUUGAGACAUAUAGUCUUACCUAGAGGCCUAUAAUUUGGUGUAUAAUGUGGGGAUAUGUUUCACAUGUAUGAGUAUUAUAAAGUUUAUAUAAGUUUUAUAUAAAUGAUUUUCUUUAAGAUAAUAAAAUAAUAUUUACUGACCUUUCCAGAUUGGAUUAUUUUUUGACCUAUAAUUUUAGGUUGAUUUUCUCUGAGUUGUUUCAUAUAUCAAUUUUGACUAUUUGUUUAAAUAGUGUAUUAAUAAUACGAGGUUGUGUAUUGAUUGGUGUGGUUCGAUUUGAGAAUUUAUCAGUUUUAUUUAUUGAUUAUUGGUUUGUAAUCAUAUUUUAACCGUUAUUGAACAGUUAAAAUAUUAAUUUAUCGAUUAUUGGAUUAUUAGUUAGUGAUCGCUAUCGAUUUGAUUAUUGGAUUAACAGUUCAAACAAUUCCCAUUGAGAAUUACUAAUGGACUAAUCACUCAUUACAAUACGCAGUAGUCAGUAGUCACUAUGAACUUUCCCCGGUUAGUCUAUCUACAUAAAAUACUUAAUGAAACUCCAUAUUAAUUCAAAUAGAGAUGUCAAUAUUGCCCAAACUAGCAAAUUCAAAAGGAUUUCUCAUAACAACCAAGCCAAUUUUGAUAUGAACUAUAAAGAGAAACCAUUACGACACUGCUAACAAAAAUCAUUAAUGAUCAUGAGACUUACUAAUAAAAGCUUUUUCGUUUGCAAAUUCUAGCAUAGGGCGAUAUACAGACAUAUCUCAUUGACUCACUCACUGUAACUAGAAGAUAAAAACAAACACUUAAAGUAAGGGAACCAACCAUCUUAACCUCAAUUUUAGACACUUAGAAAAUGCUAUUCAGUAUAACUUUUUGGCGUGGGAGCAGUGACAGUGAAUUAAUGAGUGAUGUCGCAACUCUAAAAAUUCCUAAGGCCUUAAGUGAUAUAAAUGUAAGAUACUAAACUUGUUAUUAGGUUAUCACGACACUCAAUUAGAAAUAUGGCUAAACCGAAAUCCAAAUCGGUAAGACGAUGAAAAGUUUAUAAUAAAUUGAGAUUCGAACCGUUAAAUUAUUAAUCUGAAUCUUUGACCCAAUAAUAAAUAUCAAUCUCGAUUUGAUUUGAUCAGCUCUAUGGUGAUAUUUCAAAUAAAAAUCAUGAAGUUAAAUUAAAAAUUGUUGUUUUUUAAGUUGCCACCUAAUGCAUGGAAGAACUUGAUUAAAAAAGUGUCACGACCCAAAUCCGGGCCGCGACUGGCACCACACUUACCCUCCUAUGUGAGCGAACCAACCAAUCUAACCUUAACAUUUCAAUAUAAUAUCAACAGAAAGUAAUGCGGAAGACUUAAACUCAUUAAAUAAAGACCAAUUCAUUAACUUCUAAAAUUCAACAUCUAUUAUUCCCCAAAAUCUGGAAGUCAUCAUCACAAGAACAUCUACGAUCAAACGACUAAACUAAGAGUAUUCUAAAAGCUAAAAAUACAUAAGAAGCUAGUCCAUGCAGGAAGUUCAAGGCAUCAAGACUUGAAGAAGAAGAUCCAGUCCAAGCUAGAAGCAUUAGCUCACCCUGAAUUUCCGAUGUAGCAAGACUGACUUGAAUUACUGUUGAGUUGAAGACGAUGGCACGUUUGCUGCACUCCACAAAUAAACAAGAAGAGAACAUAAAAGUAGGGGUCAGUACAAAACACGGGUACUGAGUAGAUAUCAUCGGCCAACUCAAAAUAGAAAUCAAUAUAUACCAAGUAAUAUCAUAAAAUCAACUAUGAUACUCAACAUGUAGCAACAACAAAUACUAUAUCGUUAACAAUUACCGUCAAGUUCACACAUGAGGACUCAAGCCUCGAUACCAUACUCAUUUGGGAAUCAUGUUCAUUAGAUUGAGUAUAUUAACAUCUUUCAAGAUUCAUUAUCUUUAUUUCUCUGUGUCGGUACGUGACACUCCGCUCCCUCAAUAUUCAUUAAUCCUCUUGUGUCGGUACGUGACACUCCGAUCCCCUAAAUCUAUGUGUCGGUUCGUGACACCCGAUCCCCUAAAUCUAUGUGUCGGUUCGUGACACCCGAUCCCCUAAAUCUACGUGUCGGUUCGUGACACCCGAUCCCCUAUACUACGUGUCGGUUCAUGACACCCGAUCCCUAAAUCUAUGUGUCGGUUCGUGACACCCGAUCCCCUAAUUCUACGUGUCGGUUCGUGACACCCGAUCCCCUAAUACUACGUGUCGGUUCGUGACACCCGAUCCCCUAAUUCUACGUGUCAGUUCGUGACACCCGAUCCCGAGCCAUCCAAUGGUUCGUGCACACGACUCAUAAUCUCUAUGUCGGUUCGUGACACCCAUCCCCAAAUGUCUACGUGUCGUGUUUCGUGACACCCGAUCCCCUAAUCUAUACGUUGUCGGUUAUGACACCCUCCCUUCACGUGUCAGUUCGUGACACCCGAUCCUACUUAAUUCUACGUGUCGGUUCGUGACACCCGAUCCCUAAUCUCCUUCCAUCAAUUCAUCAAGCCUUCUUUCUCAAUUGUAUCUCAAAAAUGAGAAUUAAUUCUCAAUUGUGCUAAACGUGUAUUUUUAGCGGCAAUUGACACUCUUUGUAUCUGUCCCUUAAACUUUUAAACGACAUUGGUUCUAAUGAAACUUAACUAAUGUCGGUAAAGACUUUAACACUCUUUAUUAGGCCUCAUUUGUUUGCACUUAAUGGAGGUCUGAAUCUAAAUCAUUCAAAUUCAGCUUAUUAAGUACAUUUGGUUUUAGGUUUGAAUCUCAAUCAGCCCAUUAAGUUCAUUUGUUUUAUUUUUAAAAAGCCUCUUAAUGGGUCUGAAGAGGUCUGAAUGAAUCAGAUCUGUAGGAGACUCUUAACAACAUUCAGAUUUGUUUAAUAAGUUAUCAAAUAAUAAAUAUCGCUUCUCUACUUUAACCGUGCUUUUUAUCGCAUAACUAAAAACUUUGUUUUUCUCUUUUCUCAAUCAAACGUCAUUUUCCCCUUCUUGAACUGAUAAAUUUUCAUAAAUCUUUUCAAGUUUUUUUUUAUAUUAAUAAUUUUCUUGUAUUGACUGUGUCAAAAACAUUGUUGGUGUAUUAGCUAGCGUUUAUCAAGGUUUUUGAAUGAAAAAAAUUUCCAAAAUCAUGAUUAUUAAAACUUUUUAUUAUCAAAAGCGAUAUAUUUUGUUGAAAUGAAUUUUUAUUAUUUUUAUUAGUUUAAUGUUAAUUUCACAUGCACAUUCAGAUAUUGAAAACAAACAAUAUUAAUUAUUUAGUGUUCAGAUUUAGAGACCACAUCUUAAUAUUCAGAUGUGUAUUCAGAUCAAAGUACCUGAAUCUUAAUAUUCAGAUGUGUAUUCAGAUUCAGACCUCUUAGUCUGGCUGGAAACAAAUAAGGCCUUCCGCUAUUUUUGUUGUAGUGAGUGGUAAUUAAUUAAAAUUAUAGUUAUAUAAACUAAUUAGCUAGUAUAUGUUUGCUUAACUAUACUAUUUUCCCAAAUAAGUUUAUAUUAUCCAUCAUAAAAUAUAAAUAACCACACGUAUUAGAAUGUAUAAAAAUAAUGUACAAUAGAGUAUAUUAGUAACACUUAUAUAUUAGUAAUAUUUGUAUUAGUUAUGCUUGCAUUAGCUAUAUAUAACUUUUUAUUUAUGCAUUGUUUGGUUUGAUGUAUUAAAAAUAGUACGCAUUGUAUAAUUAUAUUUAUUUACAAAAUAGUCUCCACAAUUAUGACGGAAAAAACGUAAAAUGUUUUUAGGGUCAAUUGGGUCUUUAACCAUAUUAAUACACAUAAAAAUUAAGAAAUUGACGCGACUCCUUAAAAAGGGCAUGUAAUUACAGUGGGCGCGAAAUGGCGUGAGCAUAUGUGAUGAUUCCCCAACUCAAUGCGGAGGAGCUCGUAAAGUUUGCUGAGAAAGUUUUUUGUGUGCUUUGAGCGCAAGAUCCAUGGGUUACCACAUAUGAAAAAUUAAGGAAUUUCUGUAAUUCCUAAAAAAAGGGCCUGUGGGUGUGGAAAUGAGCAAGAAAAUAAUAGCAUGAGCAUACGUGAUAGGUCCCAACUCAUGAAUUUGGAGGUCCUCAUAAAAAAUUUUCAAAUUUUUUUUGCGUGCUCAUGGCUAAAGAUCUAUGGAUAAUACAAAUAGAAAAUUGUGGAAUUUAAGCUAUUUCAAAAAUGGGCCUGAAGAUGCGGAUAUGAGUGAGAAAAAAAUGGUGUGAUCAUGCGCGAUGGUUCCCAACUCAAUAUAGAGGUCAUCCUACAAUUUUCUUAGAAAUUUUUUGAGUGCUCCAAGCGCCAAAUCUAUGAGCUAAUACAUAUAAAAAAAUUGAAGAAUUCACGCGAUUCACAAAAAUGACAUAUGGAUGCGAAAAUGUGCGCGAAAAAAAUGGUGUGAGCAUACAUGAUGGUUCUGCAACUCAAUACGGUGGUCCUCAUAAAGUUCUUUCAGAAACAUCUUUUGGGUGCUCCAAAAGUCAGACCCAUAGGCUAAUACACACAAAAAUUGAAGUAUUUGCGUGAUUUCAGAAAAGGCAUGUAUAUGCAAAAAUGGGAGAAGAAAAUGGUGUGAAUAUAUAUACGUGAUGGUUCCCAACUCCAUACGGAGAUCCAUAUAAAGUUUUUUGAGAAAAUAAUUUUUGGUGCUCCGAAUAUAUCGUCUGUAUGGUUGCUACGGAGCAUCUGAUUUGUAUAGAUCGACAUAUCAUUUGUAUUAAAGCGCAAUGAUUGUAUAUAUAUAACUAUAACAGAGGAGGAGGAGGGACUAGGGAAGAGGAGGAGGAGGAGGAGGAAGUUGUCUCAAUGUAUUUGAUAAAAUAGUUUUUGUGAUAAGAGGCGGACCCACCCUUUUAGGUAGGGUGCACGUGCACUUGUUAAUUUCGGUAAAUAAAAUCAUGAGUUUGUGAGUGUAUGUGUGUGUAUUGAUAUAUAUUGAAAAAUUGAGAGAAAUUAGAAUAUAAUUAACGUACUCAUCAUAAAAAGCAUAAGUAUAUAUGUUAUUGUGCUGCCGGUACAAGCUAAAGUAUGCACAUGCAAGACUUGAAUUUGAAUCUAGCUAGAGUGUUGUUUCACUUUUUUUUAUGUUAAGCUUAUCAUAGAGGCUAAAGCUUAUAUUUGAGCUAAGGUAAUAUUGGUGCACCAACUUCAAAUUCCGAUUCGCCUUUUGCAGCAUUAGUUAUUUUUAGCCAAUACGAUAACUAAAAUGGAUCGGAGGGAAUAUCAUGAUUUGAAUAAAGGAUCUAACCAGAGUCAAAUUUAAAAUAUAUUGAUGAAAUUUCUAAAAUUCCAACGUUAUAUCAUCCUUUUCUUAAGAAUUACCAAAUCAUAAUUAGAGUUGAGAAAAAUUUAAAGCAGAAAAUAACAUGUAUUACUAUAUGAAGAUUGGGUUGUAACAUAAGCAACCACCAAUGUUCAUUACAAGACUCGACAAUAUAUAAGUACUCCAAAUUACAAAAGAAAAGAGACAACAUAUAUAUAUAUAUAUAUAUAUAUAUAUAUAUAAUGAUGGAUCAAACUCGAUAGAUAAAUCCAUCUUAUUCUUCAUCUCCACAAGCCAGAUUUAGCUUUCAUCAACCUUACUGGACCCUGCAAUGCAAUAUUAAAUCAACAUUAAAUAUAUAGUAUGCGCGUACACACAUAUAUAUAUCGUUUUGUAACAUAUAAGUUUAAUCAAUAGUCAGACAUAUAUAAAUUACAAAUAAAAGAGAUAUUAUACUGUCAAUUGAAUAAGUAUAAUCACCGUACGUUGAGCAAUCAGUGGAAGGGCUGAUCUUGUAAGGAAUGUUGACUCCACAAACUCCAGGGAGCCCAGCGGCUUUUCCUGUAUCAAUGCCCUUAAUAGAAUUAGCUGCCGAUUUAAGGCAAGUGCACGCUGUCUUCCGGUCUUCUGGGGUCUUGGCUGCGCCCAAUAGACCCUUAACACCACCACAACACCCUCCUAGAGGGCCGCGACCCUCGAGAUAAGGGAGACAAGGAGCCAAGCCAGACGUAACCUCGCCGCAGCUCAGUGACUCUGCAUGGGGUGCAACCACCACCAUGCAAAAAACCACAAAGCAUGCAAUUUUUCCAAACAUUUCCAUUCUUAUAAAAAAAUUGAGUAAAGAUUAUAGAUAUAGUAGUACAAUUGUAUUUGUU
rnacentral:lncRNA from 1 species